CUGUAUAGAGUUGUAAACCAAGCUUUUGUUUUGUCUUCGCUUGAAGGGGCGUGUCGAUGAUCCUUCUUAUGAGAAGGCCAAGCCUGGGUUGGUUCCAGUCAGGUAUCUCGGCCUAACGUUUGGCAUUCAACUUGUUUACUUCCUCAAGGAGCUGUAGGGCAAUGGGGUCCUGAGUGGAGUCAUGUGUCACUGGAAUUUUCUUUCGUAAGUCUUCAUCGCCUCUUGGAAGUAGGAAAGUUUAAGCAAUGACGUGUGGUUUUUUCAUGGACUCGCUGUACUGACUUUUAGGGCAAGUAUGUCGGAAUACCUCAGAGUCCCCCAUACCUUCAUGUUCCUCUGGGACCAGUCAUUCCUUCCCUAGAUUGGCAGUUGGCCUGGGUCGUGGGAGGGGAUCGAGUCUUUCAGAAACCCUUGGGUCAUUGAUUUUCGAGCAUAUGUGGAGGGGAUUUUUUCGACGUUGCUUUAGGAAGUCUCGGCAGUCACGAUAAAUGGUUUUCGAUCCUUCCAACCUUUCUGCAAGGAGGUGUCUUCCUCCACUUUUUCUACUUCGGGUCGAAGCAUCUGGGUUGAAAGAAGUCUCAUGUUGAUCAAUGUUUUGAUGAUUAGCUCGCUCCUCAUCAGGGAUACCCAUGUCGAAUGGAGGUGACCCUCCGUGUUGGGGGGCACCCAGAUGAUAGUUGAUGUCCAUAGGGGUAACGAGCUUCCGUGUUUGAGUACGCUUAGUUUCGUGGAGUGUCUUAAAGAGCUUCUCAUACUGCUCCUGGAGGACCUCAUUCUUCAUUUCUAUCUUGUUGUUCUAAGCUUUUAGCUCAUCGACUUUAGCUUGAAAAGCAACCAUCUUUCCUUCAUUCUUUCGUUUCUUCGCACUAGGUGCAAGAGGGGUGUCAUUCUAUGUGCUGUGGCUUCCUUCGCUCCCCAUGUUGGAAAGGGAUGCCUGGUCAAAAUAGAGUGUACGAAUGGUGGAAACCAGCUUGGCAAAGCUGAAGAGAGUGGGAAUAAGUGUCGUUCCCACAGACAGCGCCAAAUGUUGAUACACAAAAUCAGCGAGGACUUUGGUACAACAAAAAGUGUUAAGUUUGUGACAUUCGCUAGAUUGCUCCGAUCAUUAGUGUGGAUAAGUAAGUAAAUGGAUAGGGACAGGGAAGCAAACACAAGAUGUACGUGGUUCACCCAGAUUGGCUACGUCCACGGAGUAGAGGAGUUCUCAUUAAUUGUGAAAGGUUUACACAAGUACAUAGGUUCAAGCUCUCCUUUAGUGAGUACUAGUGAAUGAUUUGGUACAAAUGACAUUAGGAAAUAUUGUGAGAGAAUGAUCUCUAUUUAUAGAAGAGAGUUUCUAGUUUCAUUCUGACUUUGACACGUGUCGUGUUGUGAUUGGCUUCUGAUGUUGACACGUAUCGCGCUAUGAUUGGCUUCUGAUGUCGACACGUGUCGCACUGUGAUUGGCCUCCUGGUUGGAGGAAAACUCUUCUGGGUCAUUGACGGUAUAAUGUUGACUGGUGCUCAGUAGUUUCGGGAUUGGUCAAGUAUGGUACAAACACAAAAUGUAUUGAUGCUAGGUGAAUAAGUCGCAACACAAAAUGAAAACGGACCAAUGCCAAAUUAAAAUGUAUCGACCAAAUUUAUUUAUUGGUACUAGAUAAAGUACGGACCCAAUUUAUUUACCCAUUCUAUACAUGCCACUUCAAGUAAUGCUUAGAAAGUACAUGCCUACUAACACACAAUUAACUUUAUAAAUUAAAUAUGAAAAUAAAUGUACCAAUCAACAAUAUUAAUAAAAUCGCUUUGAAAAAAAUGUAUAAAGUUAAAUUGAAUAUAGAAAUAAACGUACCAAUCAACAAUAUGAGUAAAAUUGCUUUAAAAAAAUAAUAUAUAUAUAUAUAUAUAUAAUCAAACGAUUGUGGUGGCACUAGUGGCGGUUGUGGUGGCAGUUGUGACGAUUGUGGUGGCGGUGCAGUGGUGGUGGUGGUGGCAGUGGCGGUGAUGUAAGGUUAGUGUUUAUAGUGGUAAGUGGUGGCAAUCAUUUUAUUCUCCAAGGAUUAAAUGUGUGUAGAAGGAUAAAAUAUGUUAUUUUAAAAAACUAAUGAAGGUAUUACAAGAAUUGAAAAUUUUCAUUAAAUGCUCAAUUCCUUUUAAAAACAACCUAUAUGCUUCUUUUAAAAAUUGUUGUAUGGAGACUAUUGUUUUUAAAAUAAACAGAAUAUUUUAUUUUUACCAAACACUUUUUACUGCUUAACUAUAAAUGAAACAAAUUUCGAUAAAAAAAAAACAACACCAAACGAAGCAUAAAACCUAUUAACAAGAAGUGGAGGAGUCUAAUUUCCUCAUGUCUUAAUUAGCAUCUUAACACUAAUUAGCUCGCAAAUAUUUGACUAAUAUACAUAACAAUAAUCAAUCUAACCGAUAAAGAAGCCAUGAAGCCACUCUUCAAUGUUGACCUUCUCAUCCACGUCAAAUUCUCGAUGUUAACAAUAGGCCUUAGUUCAACAAUGAGCAUAUAUUAUUCCGUUAUACUUUCAAAACCAAUAUGAACUCAAACAUUCGGCUAAAAUACACCUCAUAUUCGAACAAUAUAUUUUGUUAAUUGUGAAAGGUGAUUUGGAAGAUAAUUGUGAUACUUGAUGCCAUGCGCGCUCUCGAUUUCUAACUACUCAUGCCGCCAUUGUCAUUGGGUAUGACCGGUGACAACUUGGUGGAAACGUAGCAAUUCGACACGAUUAUUCUCCAAACAUAUGAUUGUUGAGAGCCUGAAUCCUAUGUAAGGGUGGGCAACGGUUAUGCCAGACGGGUAACCGCGGUUAUUUACUUAUAACUGUUUAUGCUCAUACUCGCAUAACCGUUUACCCAUUUGGUAAUUGCCUAAAUUGUUAUACUCAUACCUAUAACCGUUUAUAAACGGUUAACCAUACCAAUAAUCGCAUACCCAUUUAACCGUAACCGUUUAAUACCCGUUUACUCAUUUUUAACUUGUUUAUCUUUUUCCCAUUUUUAACUUGUUUAUCUUUUUUUUUUACCAUUACCCAUUUUUCACCCAUCUACAUGUUUUUUAACAAAUUGAAAUUUUAAAAAAAAUUUGUCAUAAUUUUUUUUGACAAUUAAACACCGUUAUAGGGGUACAUUCAUUAUACAUUUCCUUAUUUUAAUUUUUUAAGUCCUUAUACCGUUUCAAUAAUUGAAAUAAUAGUUUACAGACGAUAUUUUUAAGGGGUGUGAUAUCCACACACCCCAUUUUACUUCUCACACACCUUUUUAAUUUUCGACCGUCGGAUCAGAUGAAUUGAAGAAGAUCAACGGACAAUAAUUAUUAAAGGUGUGUGAGAAGUAAAAUAUGGUGUGUGGAUAGCACACCCCUAUUUUUAACUGUUACCAAUGAAGGUAAUAUAAUAUUUGCUAAGUAUUCUUGGGUUAUGAAAACUGUUUAGAAGACAGUAUUUUUGAGUUAUUUAACCCAUAGUGCAAAGUAUUAACAUAAUAUAUAUAAUGAGCUACAUUAUUUUAUAAUUAGCUAUAUAAACCAUGCACUAUAGUCAAUAGCAUCAGAGGUGCAAUUUGGGCUGAGCCAACCCGAACCCGCCCAUGUCUAACCUGACUUUAAACUCGAAUAAGCGAAUUUUGUUGUUGUUAUAACCCGCCUGAACCCAACCCGAUUUCAACCCGUUCAUUGAUUGGGUUGGAUUGGGUUGAUCAUUUGUCCAUCCCAACCCAAUCCAAUUAACCAAACCCUAUUAGGUUGAGCUGUGCAACAUACUUCUCAAUAACCUUUGCACCUUUGCACCUUUGCACCUUUGCACCUUUGCACUUUCAUGAGAACCUACUGAUAUGAUAUACAAUUUGACUUGAAAGGAAUCAUAUUAAGUUUAUUUUGCUUUUCACAUCACAUCCUGUAGAACAACUUCCUUUAUUAAAUUAAUAUUGCAACUAUUCGACCUCUCUUUGAGAUCUGCUUCACAGUUUGAGUUGUGAUUGUUUCUUAUGCUGAUUCAGACGAAGUAGGCUAUUGAGCAAGUAAAUUUGAGGGAAAGUGAUUUUAAGGUCAGUUGUUUGCUAAUACAAAUAGGUUGACAUCAUUGUUGAAAAACAUUAAACACUACUUGAAAAAGUUAGGCAACCCAAACUCAACCCAAGUAAAUCCAAACCCGAUUAAACCCGAGCCCGACUAAACCCGAUUAAAACCCAAUCCGAACCCGAACCCGAAUUGUAAAAGUUGGGUUAGGAUUUGGUUGAUUUUCCAACUCGCCCGAGUUGCACCCCUAAAUAGCAUUGAUCUAAGUUUUGUCCUAUAGAGAACAUGGUUUGUGUUAAUUUUACAUAUAUAAAAUAAAUGGGUAAACGGUUACCUGUUUAUAACCGUUAUUUAUACCUAUAACCGUUUAUUUAUCUAAAUAGUUACCUAUAACCAUAACCGUAAAGUUUAAAUAAGUGGGUAACUGCGAUUACAAGGUAUUUUACCCAUAUUCCCAUGUCAGAAAGUAAAGCAUUGCCGUAUAAUUUAAAUUAUCUUAGAUCAGUUGAUUUUAGACCGAAUGUUCACAUUCUAAAAUUUCUAAUAACGUCUGCGUUGGUUGUGAUAUGAGUUCUGCACCUCCGAUAUUGUAAAGCAUUAAAUAAAGGCCCAAUUACAAAUUCAUAAUUUUGGCCCAUGGUUUUUGGGCCCAGAGUAAGGUUGCGUAAUUUCCAGGGUCAAGUUUUAAAUUUGAUGCUUAAAUAGCAAGCCCAACCUUUUGCAAUCUCUUACAUGGGCAUUUUCCAGUCUUUACUUUUCAUUUUCAUUUUUACUUUGGAAUUCUAAUCCUGUAUAACAGUACAUGUGGAAAAUCUAUAUCUUUUUUUCUUUUUCUGCAUAUUCCUGUUUAGUUUUGUUAUUUGAUUUUCUAAUACUUUAUUUCAUUCAAAGGUUAGAAAUGAGCAAGAUUUGUGUGUGGGAGAAAAAAGUGUGUGCGACAAUCAUUUCUCAUUUCAUUUUUUAUCGAGGAGAUAAGAGAUUCAAACUUAAAAUCUCUUCUAACAUUGAGAAGUAUCACUAUUGUACUAACGACUAGUUGGUAAUCUUGCACAUGUGUUCAAAACCAAAAAAUUUCUAUUUUGUAUAAUGAGAUGCAAAAUUUAGAUUGCAACGAAGUUCUUCUUUUUAUGCAUGUGAGAGUGAAAUUGCAAUAAAUCGAACAACUUCAAUUACAUAUAUAAGAGUUUCUUUUCUUGUUUGUUAGAAAAUUUUGUGCAGAACGGUUUCAUAUUACAUAUGUAUCUUUUUACUUUUUAUCACGUAUCUUGUCAGGUGACUUCGCAAUGAGAGAUAGAAACACGUCAAGAUACAACGAUUGUUCCAAGAAAGUUUUCUAGUGGUAUGAGAAAGUUAACGAAAAGGGUUGGGACUUGGGAGGCGUUACGUCGUUAUCUGUAACGGUCUUAACAUGGAGCCAAGAUGGGAUGGUAGGGUUUUCGUGUGCAUGAAGGAUGCAGAUGACCUGAUCUGCCUUUCCCUUUGUGCUUGUGACCUCCUGCAAUUUCCAUAUCGACAAAACUUUUGCCCCUUGAUGGAAAUAUCCAACUUUGUGGGGGCCACCAGUCCAAUCCAUGCAUGGAUCCGGCCCGUUCAAUUUUCAUCGCCAGAAUUCAGUUGAUCACCUUGAUAUCAUGACCUAAUUCAAUCAUCAUUUGGAAGACUUUUUUGUCAAAUAAAACGAAAUAAUUGAUUAAUAUGAUUACAAGAUUAAUUCUUCAUUUUCAACAAUAUUGUAGGAUUUAUUUACUAGAGUGAUAGAAGAUUUGAACUUGAAUCCAGACCGCUUUAAAAACUCGUAAAAAAAUAGUAUCAAUGACCAUUUCCUCCUGUUUUGGAGGCAAAUUUGGUCCACUGUUUUUGUGCAUGAAUAAUGGUUGCCUUUAGUAUUAUUUGCUACUUUUUCUUCAGUAAAACAAUAAUACUGUCACUUUCUAUGAUGCCCAUUUCACACUAGCAUGCCCUGGAAGAACUAAAUAUCUUUUGUCAACAAAAAUCUUCCAUAGGUUGUUCCAAUCCAAGCUAGCCUUGGGUUGUCAUGAUGAUUUUGGUUUUAAUACAAAGUAAAUGGUAUAUAUCAACCGACCAACUGUAUAAGUUACUGUCAGUCGUUAAUAUAUGAACGUUGGUUCAUAUAAAUCUCAUAGGUUCCAUUUGGUGUACGAAAUGAAAGGUUGUGAGUAACAGUUAUAUCCUUAAAGAAAAUAUUGACAAAUUAUGUAAUGUACCCAUCCUGCAGUCCUCAUGUUGGCCAUAACCCUACCCAUGUGCAAAUACAAGUGAACAUAUAUCUCUUUUAAUGUAAUCAAAAUUAAAUUGAAACUUAAAACUUAAAUAAGAUUAGGGUUUUGAAUAUUCUAACGUGCAUGGGUUUGGUGACAUAGCAGGUUUAUUCGGUCCCUCGUACACUAGCAAAAGAGCUUGAAAUUAAUUAAUAUAAUUUUAAUUAAAUUAAAUAAUAAUGAUUAAGCUGAGUAAGAAGGAAGAAAGAUCUCCUAAUUAAUCAUCUCCCAAUUGGAUGCAUGACAGUAGCAUUUGGCCCACGUUCCGGAGUAGGCUCCAUCCUCCAUAACAUGCACAUGAGCUGCCAACCAUUUGGUCUCUCUGGGACCGCAUCAUAUUCAUCUGCAGUUAUUUGGAUUCUCAUACGAUCGACACAGAGAGAGAGAGAGAGAGAGAGAGAGAGAGAGAGAGAGAGAGAGGUUUGCAUUGUGAUGAGUGUGAACCCAUGAGACGUUGCAUAGUAUUAUCUUCUGCUACUAUCCCUCCCCAUUGGUUCUGCAAACCCAACACCAACCAAGAUAAGCGUUAGGCUAGUCGGUCGCCUUACCGCUUCUGGUGACGGUAUACUGUUGAUGUAUGUAUAAAUAAUGAACGACUGAGUUUAGUAUUCAUCUAUCUCUUUUGAAAUACCAAACGUACAAUAUGUGACAUUUGUGUAACAAAAGCCGUCUCCUUAUUCUUAUACUUCCAACACCUAGAGUAGUACGUAGCAGUGGUAGUCUUAUCGCACUUACUGACCUUUUUGUUUCAAUUGAUUCUCUCGAUUGAUAAGUGGCCGGUGUUUGGUCCUAAAUAGAAAUUAGGUUAAAUUAUAAACAUAAUCUUUUUCACAAAUGUAUGUUUUACAAUAAGGUAGAAUAAUUAUGUUGACAAAAUUGAAGGUUUCAAUGUACGAUAGAUUAAUUGGAAUGUAGAUGAUUCUCAGUUGUUGAGGCAUUCACUUUAUUUGGUGCGGAUGUAUAAUUGAUGGACAGUCGUUCAUGCACGUGUGUUUGUAUGAAGAUAUGUAAAGCAACCCUCUAGAUAUGAAUAGACAUAAGGUCUUUGUAAGUUGGGCUACUACUAUAUAGCGAAUUAAUUUUAUGUUGAAACCUCAGCUUUAUUCAUGAUAUCAAAGUAGGGUGUUUCAUGUGUGAAGCCCAACGGCUACACGUGCUUCACAUCACUCAUUUUAUUUUGUCCAUGUGCUAAGCUUAAAAAUUCGUCACGUGAUGAGACGUGUUGGAGUAUUAAUCCUACAUCGAAAAGAAGGAAACUUGCAUUGACAAAUAAGAUACGCUAAUACCCAUAUUAUCAAUUAAUUUUAUAAAUUUUAUAGUAAAACCCAAACAUUUUUCAUAAUUUUCUUUGGAGUUAACUAAAGCCAGAAGUUUGUGGUGUUGUUAACUCACUACCUAGGAGUGGACAUUUUAACCGGUAAAUCGGGUCGAGAAAACCAAAAGAAUCGGGUUUGACAUUGUCACAUUCUUGUUGCAUUUUUUCCCAAAUACCGAAUGUAAUGUGCCAUUCUUGUUACGGACAAGGAUUGUCUGCCCUCCUAGUUGUGGUGCCCUUCUAUGCCCUCCUAUUUUGUGCGGUCACGGUUAAGCCACGUCAACAUUUUAUAUUAAUUUUUUAAUGAGAUAAUAAGACAAAAAACAAUAAAAAUAUAAAAUAUUAACGUGGCUUAACCGUGACCGCACAAAAUAGGAGGGCAUGGAAGGGCACCACAACUAGGAGGGCACCUUGUCCUUCUUGUUACAAAAGCCUCUUUAUUCUUAUCCAAUAGAAGUAGUACGUAGUCUUAUCUCACCUAAUGGUCUUUUCUGUCAAUUGAUUCUCUCAGUUUAUAUAUAAGCUUUGUUUGUUUCAAAAUACAAAUUAGCUAAAUCAUAAACGUAAUGUGUUUCUGUUUGGAUCUUACUGUACACCAUUGAUCUGUUUAAUUGAGGCUGUUGAAUUUUAAUAUUUUUCUUAAAUAUUACUAUUGCUGAUUCGAAUUCAAUAGAGAAAACCAGGCAUUAUCCAUUGCUGGUUGUUUGUUGGAGAUCCAUUUGUUGAUAAAGACUUACUCAAGUGAUGGCAAGGAUUUUCCAACUUGGCUUGAGUAAAGAAAAGAUAAAAGAAGGUACCAUCCAUUUGUGAUAUUAUCCCUUUGGCCAAUUUGAUAAUUUAUUCUUUUUGGCCAAUUUGAUAGUAUUUCCUAAUAGAAUGCUCAGUGUUCAUUAAGAUAAAGAUGGCCAUCAAAAGGCCUUUGGUAGCCACGGUAUGGACUUUACAACACGUUCAAGCGUAUUAGUCCUAUAAAUACAUAAAACCGUGUAAUGAGAAGGCAACCUUCAACUUAACAUACAAAUAUGCCUUGCACAAAUCUCGCUCUAGGCGAACACUUCUCACACUCAGAGAACUAACUAACUCACAUUUUGAGAAAUCACUAACUCUCCACUUUCCUAACUACUUAAAGCUCGAUUGAUUAUCUAUCCAAGUCUCAGCUGACGAGGAGUCCUUGAUUCUUUAAUUGAACGAGGUCACUUUACUAGCUUUCCAACCAAAUUAAGUGUUUUAUGCUUGGUUACUUCUGGUACAUUUUAGAGUUCGGUAUUCUGACGGUUGAACAACAUUUACCAUCAAGACAUUUAUCUCUUUCGAGUACGAGUAUCCUUACAGUUUAACUCCGAACUGAUCAGAGCACUUAUAUUUUCACAAAUAUAGUCGAGGCGGCCGAACCUGGUGCAAAAGAUCAUGAACUUCACAGUGACUAACAACCUUUUUGACAUCACCACCACAUUCAUUCUACUAACCGACCGAGUUCGAUGGCAAGUUAGCACGACCGCAUUCAUCAUAAUGACGUAGUUAGCUUUUUGUUAUUCAGUCUACGUGUAAGUAAACUUGAUAGUUUUUAAGGUCAACAAUUUCACAAAUUGUGCUUUACAUUCUAACAAGUUUUACGAUCUCAACUUAUACUAGACGAAGGCGGACGAUCGAUUGUUAGUUGUUGCUGCGAGUUUCAUUGUGAUUGCGGAUGUAUAAUUGACAUACAAUCGUAACGUGUGUUUGUGGGCAAAGCAACUCUCUAGACAUCAAAAGAUAAGGUCUUUAGUUUUAUUCAGAAUUUGAGGUGUCUAUAUAAGUCACAAAAACCAAGAAACCUCUCGAACUCGUACCUUGGAUGCAGUGGAUGGGUUCCUAUCACAUGGUUGUCGCCAAAGGCAACAGAAGAGUACUCGCUAUAAUACUAAAUUAACAUGGUCCACUAGACGGUGGCUUUCCACCCUUUUUGUCGAUCGUGAGAGUAUGAUUUGGCCAAAUGCACUGUUAUUCUCCCAAAGUCGAGGUCAAUUUAGUAAACUAAUAUAUAGAAGUUUUUAAAAGUCACUAGUCUAGUAGCGGGUAGAGGCCUGUCGCUUAGGGGGGCCUAGGUAAUUUUUUAUUUUUAAUUAAUUUUUUAUAUAAUAUAUAGAUAAAUAUCUACUUAUAUUUUUUUUAAAAUAUAACUGUAUUGAGAUACAUUAAUUAGAAAAUGGAACUAUAUAUAAAUUAUAAAGUAUUAGAAUUGAAAACAUGGGGAAUAAACAUAUAAUGAGUGUUCAUCUCAAUAUUUAACAAGUUUUUUACAAUUUAUUGAAAAAAUAAAAUGUAAAAUGAAAGUUAUCUAUUUUCUAUCUAAAUGAGAGUUACGAUCUAGACGAGCGCCUACGCAGAUCUAGACGCUCUUUCUUAGUUUUCAAACGUCUAGUGAUCAAUCAAAGCGAUGACUACCUGCUUAGCGCCUAGGCAGGCUUAAGCGAAGCUAGGCGGUAAUUUUUAAAAGAAUGUGAUAUAUAGUUAGUAAUGAUAGCUACAAGGAAGAAAGAAACAACCCCACUGUACGAAACCAAAAACACUAAGCUACGAUGUGUUCUUAUCAUCUUAAGUUGUCCUACGAAUAAGUUAUGAAACCUAAUAUUAUGUUGUUGACCUAACCAAGUAGCUAGUAGCUAGUAUCGUUCACAUCAUCACUCCUAAAGUAACUUGAGGUAAAUUAGUUGCAAGAUAGCUAGAAUACAGAUCCGUCAAGGGACAUUUUUGUAAGACACAUUUUUAUUGAAAGCGCUACAAAUUUUUAUCGAAAAUUCAAGUACAUCUUGUUGGAGCAUAACGUGGUAUUGUUUGCAUACAUCAUGUAAAACUUUUACAUGUUAGGAUUUAACAAAGCAAGUAUUUUACGUUUUCAUCUCUCACACUUCAUUGUGAUCGAAACUCAAAAGAAAGAUGAUAAUAAGGUCAACUAGUACCCUAAUGAAUAUGAUUUUUAAUUUUCCGUGUAUUGCAUUACGGUUAAAAUGCAAGAUUUUUCCAAUAUUAAACUAUCAUAAGUAGUGUGUGAUGUCAGAGAUAUUACGAGACGAAGAACUUGCUGGUUCUAGUAUGAAAAUUGUUUUUGAAAUUUUGAUUUAAAAUGAUUCAGUCUUCAUAGGUGUCGGCGGGUUGGAUUGGUUUUUAGCUUAAAAGACCAUUUCUGUCCAUUAAUGUUGGUAGUCAGUUGAAUCAAUUAUUUUUUCUACGUGUUUAAUCUUAAACAAAAUUAAAAAAACGGUUUGUUUGGGGAAGGCUGUUAUUUAUUUUUAUUAAUUUUGAAAAAGUCGCGGUAAAAUCCCGGACAACUGUCAGCAGCUGGAGUCACUGUCAGUCGCGCUUGCACGCCGCCGUAGCUUAUUAAACUCCGGUCACUCACUUCCGCUCGUCUUCCGCCGGAAACGCCCUUUUUUUUUUGCUCGAUCAAUAAAAAUUAAAGUUAAAAAAAAAAGAAAAGAAGAAGAACGUUUCUGAAUUACCAAUCAGCUCUUCAACUUCCAUUGGCCACAGCAGUACAGAGCACUGUGUCUCUCUACUUUCUCUCUCUACACACUCUCUCGUAUACUUUCUCUCUCUAUACAGAGAGAAACACAGCACGAGAGCUCUCUGUUGGUAUUUUUUACGGACGUACACGCGGUUGUGUAGGCGUAGAUUCCUUUGCCCCCACUGCGUCAUAUAAUUUUAUCAAUAAAUAAAUGCCAAAAAGCUCUCUCUCUCCCCGCUGAAACCGCAUUUAUACACAGAGAGAGGGCCUAUUCCUAACGUUUUCCUCAUUUUUAUGUGCUGCUUUGGUUUGCCUAUAUUCACUCCUCCUCCGGGGAUCUCAGCCGUCCUCCGCCGCUCUUGCGAGAAUUCACCGGCUCAGCUGUCACCGGCAAGUUUCUCUCUUUGCUUUGGUAUUUAUUUCUGCUGAAAUUUUAAGCUGUUUUUUGUUUGUAAAGUUGGAAACUUUGCUGUGAUGGAAUUGAUGGGUUUUGAGUAUGUUGAUUUUGUGCGGAUUUUGAGGGCAUAAGUGGGUAAUUUGUGGAUUUUGGGCAGAUGGGCAGAUGGGCAGCUGUUGUUUUAGCCCAGUGCAUACGUGGUCUACAGUGUACUGCUUUUGGAUUUCUGGGGAACCUAUAGAGAAUAAUUGCCAGAAAGAUAUGGUCUUGUAGUGUAAACUUAUUGAUUUCUGGGUGAAAUCGAAGGUUUCAUAUCUGGGUUUGUUUUAAUUCGUUGAAUUGGGGAUUUAUAUCUCGUGGAAUUGGACUAUUGGCGUUAUAAAAUUCUGGAGUUUUUGUGGAAUUUGGAUUUAUGGAGGCUUUUGGAGGCAGAGCUCGGAAUUUCUAUGGUACGAUGGUGCCGGAUUUGAAGGGGGCUGGGAAAAAGAGUUUGGAAUGGGAUUUGAAUGAUUGGAAAUGGGAUGGUGAUCUUUUUACCGCUAGUCCUUUGAAUGCUGUACCAUCUGAUUGUAGGAGCAGGCAGUUGUUUCCGCUUGGGCUGCCGGAAACUCCCUCCACUGCUGGUUUGUCCAACAGUUCUUCUUCUGGUUCGGACGGUAUCUGUCCAGGGAAUGAGAAAGGUAAAAGAGAGCUGGAGAAAAGAAGAAGGGCUAGUUUUGUAGAAAAUGAAGGGCUAACUGAUGAAGUUGGGUCUCUUAAUCUCAAGCUUGGCGGGCAAGCUUACCCAAUCAUGGAAGGAGAGGUACAACAUGGGAAGAAGACGAAGAUAGUUGGGACUACUUUAAACCGAGCAGUUUGUCAGGUGGAGGACUGUAAGGCUGAUCUUAGCAAUGCCAAGGAUUACCACCGACGACAUAAGGUCUGUGAUAUGCAUUCUAAGGCAACUAAAGCGGUGGUGGGAAAUGUUUUGCAGCGGUUCUGUCAGCAGUGUAGCAGGUUAGUUCAAUUCUAUGGUUGUCCUUGUAUGGUGAGAAAUAUUUCAAAUUUUCUUCAGUUAAGUUCUACGUCGUUUAUUCGGUGCUUUCUUAUAGACAUUGUUUCUAGAAGAUGAAAUACAGAGUUUGAUUUGUAAGUUUUAAAAAAAUUAUUUGUUGCUCUCAUGAUUUGGGUCCAUAGUUGUUCAUCACUGUGUUUGGUAUAGUCGAAUUUUGAAGAACUUUUUUGUUGAAUUUGGAAUGUGGUUAUACUUAUGGGCAGGUUUCAUGGCCUUCAAGAGUUUGAUGAAGGAAAGAGAAGUUGUCGUAGACGUUUGGCAGGCCACAAUAGGAGGAGAAGAAAAACACAUCCUGAUACUGUAGUUAAUGGAGGCUCAUUGAAUGAUGAAAGAGGAAGCAGUUAUCUAUUGAUUAGUUUGCUGAGAAUACUCUCCAACAUGCACUGUAAAUCUUUGUGUUAUUGCACAUUCAAUUUUUGGCUGCUUUGCCUGACAUUAAAUUGAUAUGCUAAGUGUAUGUUAAGUGGUUACCGGAUUGUGUGUUGAUUGCCAUAGACUGAUGUCAAAGUUCUUGUGGUCUUUUGCUCUUAGGUUUUGUCAUUAUUUGAUUGAGGCUUGUAGCAAAAUGAUUAUGUCAAUUAACAUUUAAUAACUCCACUCAUAAAUUUUUAUUUGUAAACAUACAACAUAUUACUUGAUGAGUCCUUAACUGCUUAAGGUGCUCUAUUUUUGUGUAUAAAUGACAAAGUGCUAGUUUCUCUGAAUUUAAUUUGAUGAAAAUUUGAAUAUUGAUGCUUACGCAUGAAAAGUUUUCAGUUUUUCAGAGGUUGAUUUGAUAGAAAGUUAGAAUUUUGUGCAGACCUUCAUGUCGAAAAAUAUUUCAAUUUUUAUAAUCCAGAUUACACCUUGUGUGCUUGAAUUUCAUCCCUUGAACCCUUGUUUUUUGCACUUUCUUUCUCUGAUUGUUGGACUGUCCAUAUUUCACAUUCUAGGAUGCAUGAAGGAAGGGCCUAUUAAAGGGAAUUCUAAUUAGGAAUUGUUAUUUAGGAAAUUAUGUCUCAGUGAUCAUGUUAUUAUAAUAUUUAUUUGAUUAUGUUUGUGUUUGUUUUUCUUCUCAUAAGUGUCUUACUCAACUCCACUUUUGAUGCCUAAAAUGCAGCUAAUAGUUCAGAUCAAACAAAGGAUCAGGAUUUGCUAUCUCAUCUUUUGAAGAAUCUAGCCAAUCUUUCUGGUACAGUUGAUGGAAGAAACAUGUCUGCAUUGCUUACGGCAUCUCAAGGUUUAAUAAAUGGCGGGGCAUCAAUUCAGACUGCACAAAAGGUCCCAGAUACAGUUUCCAACGGCUGUGAACCAAGUAAGCCUUCUGUUUCAGCCUCUAAAAUGGAUGAUUAUAUUAAUGGUGAGGACCCUUCAAGACCUAUACGACAGUGUUCUACGGUACCUGCAUCAGAUUUCAGGAGAAUAUCUUCAGUUGAUGCAGAUCAUGGAGGUCUACAAGUUGUUUCAGGUCUAAAUGCCACGAAGCCAUUUCCUUCAAGAGACAGUGUUCCAUCCACAUCAGUUGCACCAGAAGCUACAAUGGGGAGGAUGCAGUUAAAUGGCAUUGAUUUAAAUAAUACAUAUGACGAUUCCCAGGACUAUUUGGACAACCUAGGGAAUUCGCAUGCCCCUGUAAAUUCAGGGACAGUGGCUCAUGGUUUUCCCUUUUGGAUGCGUCAGGAUUCGCAAAAGUCUAGCCCACCUCAGACAAGUGGGACUUCAUGCUCAACUUCAUCAAGUUCUAGUGGAGAUGCUCAGGUAUAUUCUUGUUGUACUUGCAUCUCGUUCCUCGUUAUUGCUUGGUAUAUUAAUGCUUGUAUAUGCCAUAACCUGUCCUUUUCUGUUGGAUAAAAGAAUAGCUUUGUUCUCACUUUAAUUUGGCAUUUAGGUGACAAUGCUUUGCAUUCGACUUGUCCGUUUGUCUAGCCAAUUGAUUGAAAAAACAUGAAGUACUCGGCAUACCUAAUAAAUACUUCUGUUGUGACGUAAGAGUCAAGAUGGAUUCUCUUCUUUUGUAUAGUGCUUUGUAUGUAUAAAUGUGUGCGUAUGCUUCUGCUUGAUAAGGUUUAUAGAGUUGUAGUUAAACUACAGGAGGUUGCAGGCUAUAUCAGUUAGAGUUGAGUAUUUUUUAAAUAUUUUUUAUUAUGAAGGCCAGUGUGUAAAAUGUUACUGCACUGUUACGUCUCUUAACCACUCUUUUUCUGCCGUGUUUCAGAGUCGCACAGACCGUAUUGUUUUUAAACUCUUUGGAAAAGAUCCAAAUGAUCUUCCAUUUGUUCUACGAGCACAGGUAAUAUUUGGUGCCUUGAUUUAAUUCUUCACAAUGUAACUUGUGUUUCCUUGCACAUACAACAAUUUUAUGAAAUAUUUUGAAUAUCCAGAUUCUCAACUGGUUGUCCCACAGUCCUACUGACAUUGAAAGCUACAUAAGGCCGGGAUGUAUCAUUUUGACAGUUUACCUCCGUCUAGAAAAAUCCACGUGGGAGGAGGUAUGUUUCUGUGCUGAUGCCAAAAUGUUGAUUGCUGACCUUGUAUCAGGGAGAUCUCUUUUCUUGUCCUUAAUUGUUAUGUUUGCCUGCAGCUCUGCUGUAAUCUGGGAUCCAUUAUAAAACAACUUUUACAUGCUGCCAAUGAUCCUUUUUGGACAACAGGAUGGGUGUAUACUAGGGUGCAACAUUCUGUAGCAUUUACGUACAAUGGUUUGUUCUCUCUCUCUCUCUCUCUCUCUCUCUCUCUCUCUCUCUCUCUCUCUCUCUCUCUCUCUUAAUUAUUCAUUCAUAUAUUUUCUAGCUCAUUUAGUGAUUUACCAAUAGUUGUGUUAUGAAAGAAAAGACAUUUUAAAUAGUUAUGUCUGUACUGCAGGUCAAGUUGUCUUAGACACACCCUUACCUCUGAAAAGCCAUAAAAAUUGCAAGAUAUCAUGCAUCAAACCAAUUGCAGUUUCUUUAUCCGAAAGAGCUGAAUUUGUAGUAAAGGGGUUUAAUCUUUCUCGUGCCACCACAAGGUAUCCUUAUCUUUCAUUCAAGCUUCAUUAUGUAGACCACUCCAGUGUCAUAUGUUAUUUCUGAAUUAGUAACUAUCAGGAUAACUGGGAAGGAGGAAAGUACUAAGUCCUAGCUUGUGACAGGUUGCUCUGUGCUCUGGAAGGGAAGUAUCUAGUCCAAGAAACUUGUUAUGACUUGAUGGAUGGUGCUGAUACAACCUUUGCGAAUGAUCAGCUACAGUGCCUCAGAUUCUCCUGCUCUAUACCCAAUGUUACUGGCCGAGGACUCAUUGAGGUGCUGUUCCAUUCUUAAUAUAUGUUUUAUAUUUCCUUUGAAGUGUGCUUAUCAUUACUUAUUUAUUUAUUUUUAUUUCAGGUUGAAGACCAUGGUCUCAGCGGCUGCUUCUUUCCAUUUAUAGUUGCCGAGCAGGAAGUAUGUUCAGAGAUUUGUACCCUGGAGGGUGCGAUUGAGGUGGCUGAGACUGCAGAUAACAUCCAGACAGAACCUGAAAAGUUGGAAGCCAAGAACCAAGCGUUGGACUUUGUACAUGAAUUGGGUUGGCUCCUUCACAGAUGUCACACUAAAUUUAGACUUGGUCACGGGGAUCCCAACUUAGAACUAUUUUCUUUUAGACGGUUCAGGUUGCUUAUGGAGUUUUCCAUGGACCGUGAUUGGUGUGCUGUAGUGAAGAAACUCCUGGGCAUUCUGCUUGAGGGUACCGUUGACACUGGAGAACAUCCUUCUAUUGAGCUUGCGUUAUUGGAUAUGAGCCUCCUCCACGGAGCCGUGCAAAGAAAGUGCAGGCCUAUGGUGGAACUCUUGUUAAGAUUUGUCCUAGACAAAGGGUGGCAACAAGUUGACGGGGACGGCAGCAACUUCUUAUUUAAACCCGAUGCAGUUGGGCCCAUGGGAUUGACUCCUCUUCAUGUUGCAGCCAGUACUGAUGGAUGUGAGAAUAUAUUGGAUGCCUUAACUGAUGAUCCUGGAAAGGUAAUUUCUCAUUGUCUUCUUUGACAGUUUUCUUUCUAAUUGGAUGUAAAAAUCAGAACAGGUCUGCAUCAUUAUCCAUUUUUCUCCGUACGUGUUUGACCGUUUGCUCAUACAAAUGACUCAUGUCAGCUCAUUCUGUGUCUCACAUGAAUGUUGAUAUUUCAAAUCGUUGUAUUUUCAAGCAUACAAAUGUUGAUAUCUUUGCUUCUUUAGGUGGGAAUUGAAGCGUGGAAAAAUGCUCGAGACAGUACAGGAUUGACACCAAAUGAUUAUGCAUGCCUGCGAGGCCGCUACACCUAUGUCCAAAUUGUCCAGCGGAAAAUCAACAAGAAACAUGAAAGCGGGCACGUGGUGCUUGAUAUCCCUGGCGUUAUCUUAGACAGCAGCAGCAAGCAGAAACAAUUAGAUGGGCAUAAGUCCUCAAAAGUCUCCAUCUUGGAGACCGAAAGGAUCGAUAUGAAAGCAAUGCAGGCACAUUGCAAGCAAUGUGAAAUGAAACUAGCAUAUGGAAACACAAGGUCGUUUGUGUACAGGCCGGCAAUGCUGUCAAUGGUAGCCAUUGCUGCUGUCUGUGUUUGCGUGGCCUUGCUCUUCAAAAGCUCGCCUGAAGUCCUUUAUGUCUUCCAGCCCUUCAGGUGGGAACUCUUGGAGUAUGGACCGAGCUAAGGCAGUUUACGCGUCUCAAAUUUUAGUUACUCUGGCUUUAGGCCGUUUGUGUUAAUCAUAUGUAUAAACGGAUAACUCAAAUUUUAGUUACUCUGGCUUUAGGCUGUUUCUGUUGAUCAUAUGUAUAAACCGAUAACUCUAUAGGGAACAUAAUGUACCAGUUUUCGUAUCCGUUAAGAUUUCCACGAGAGGUGUUGCACUGUAUGUAUUAAUGAUAGUUCAUAUAAAGCGUGUAUAGGGAAAGAUUGACGUAAAUAGUACUAUUGACCAAUUGUUGAGGCAAUAGAUUGCUGCAUUACUUCCAAAAACACAUACAAACAUUGUAUUCGAUGAGGCGGAAGAUUCGGACUUGAAAAUUCUUUCGCUUUUAAGUCAGCUUUCUUAAACAGAAGACAAUAUUUAGUAGGGCGGCCUGACUAAUAAUUUCUUUCGCUUUUAAGUCAGCUUUCUUAAACAGAAGACAAUAUUUAGUAGGGCAGCCUGACUAAUAAGUAGGUUAGACUACUCUUGCUAAAUUUUAUGCAUUGAGAGUUGUAUUUACGUAAGACUGGAUGGUGACCAAAUACAUAGAAUCACGUUCCUUCAUGAGGGGAUAAGGCUGUCUCACAAAGGUUGGAGCUUUGUGCUUACUUAGAUACAUGAAUCUCGUUCUUUCGUGAGUCAACUUUUCAGGUUAUUCAACUCAAAUGUUAUGAAUAAAAUUGGGCCAAAAUUAGAUCAAACAGUUGUUUUUCUCCAAAUAUUUUUAAUUUGGUCAAAUGCAUGAAUCUCGUUCUUUAGUGAGAUAACUUUUCAUGUUAUUCAACUCAAACGUUAUGAAUAAAAUUGGACCAAAAUUAGAUCAAACAGUUGUUUUUCUCUAAAUAUUUUUAAUUUGGUCAAAUCCAAUCCGAGUCUAAUAUUAACUAGCAAAAAAAAAAGCAGAAAAAUGGAUUUUACAGGCUAAUAAAAUAAUAGGAAAAGGACUCCAGUCACAGAGACACGUUGACUCAUAUUUUGACAUGAAAUUGUUUUCCACUUCAACAAGUCAUAUUCAUGGUCCUUACAUAGUGUACACAAUUAUUACCUUGUUUAAUCUUUUUCAAUUAUUUUGUCGUUUUGAACCUUUUUUCUUUGGUUUAAUUGCCAAUAAUUCAAGCAUUAAAUCUUGAUCUCGAAAUGGAACAAUUUUCCGGUGUACUAAGAUCACGUUCACGUAAAAUUACUGGUUCAUUUAAAUUAUAUUACGUAGAUUUGUUAAUAUUAAGUUUAGGUUAAAUCUCACAAUAAUUAGUAAUAAUAUGACGAGAAUUAAACUUGAAAUAUAUCACUUAUAAUAAAAUAAAAUAUCAUUAGUUUAAAUAUUAAAAUGAUACACCUCGUAACUUGUAACGCUGUUAAUUUCUAAUCGAAAUCAAAAGGAGACGCGUCAUUUGAGGCCACCACCUCUCUCCUCUCACUCUCCCCACUGAAACCGAAUUUACACAGUAAGAGAACCCUUUUCCUAACCUUUUCCUAAUUUUCAUGUGCUGAUUAGCUUUGUCUCGGGGCCUAUAUUCUCUCUGCCUCAACUGCGAUCUCAGCCACUUCUUCGUCAGCUCUCAGUUCUCAGCUCAUCUCCCAACAAUUCACCAACCUGCCGGCAAGUUUCUCUCUCUUUACUCUCUCGCUCUCCUCUUUAUUUCCACAAAAAAAGAUUGGGUCUUUCAGUUCUUUCAGCUCAAGUUUCUUUCCAUGGAGUUGAAAGCAUUGACUAGGAUGUAAUUGUGGGCUUGCAAAUACGGUAUUUUGUACUGACUUGUUGAGAGAAAAACUGGGUAAUUGGUGGAUUUUGGGUUCUGGGCAGCUGUAGCCUGUAGUUUAGCUCCAUUUUUAUGCUGGUGUGCUGUUCUUGGUUUUCUGGGGUUCUUGGAAAGAACAAUUUCCAGAAAUUUCUGGGGCUGUGGUGUUAUUGACUUUUUGUUUUGGGGUGAAAUUUAUAGUUUUAUCUCUGAGCUGUAGUUGUUGUUAUUGUUCAAUUGGGUGUUUGUAUCUGGUGGAGUUUGACUAGGGGGCAUUGUAACAUCUCUGGGUUUUUUGUAUCUUGAUCUAUGGAGUCUGAAUUCGGAGGAAAGGCUUGUAAUUUUCGUGGUGUGAUGGUGCCGAAUUUGAAGGGGGUUGGGAAAAAGAGUUUGGAAUGGGAUUUGAAUGAUUUUAAAUGGGAUGGUGAUCUUUUUACUGCUAGUCCAUUAAAUUCUACACCAUCUGAUGGUAGGAGUAGGCAGUUGUUUCCGGCCAGGCCAGAAACUCCGUCGGAUGCUGGUUUGUCCAACAGUUCUUCUUCUGGUUCGGAUAAUAUCAGUCCGGGGAAUGAGAAAGAUCAAAGAGAAUUGGAGAAACGGAGAAGGGAUUUUUUUGUGGAAAACCGAGAGUUGAAUGAUGAAGCUGCGUCUCUGAAUCUUAAACUUGGCGGGCAAACUUACCCCAUUAUGGAAGAAGAAGUACAAACCGGGAAGAAAACAAAGACAAUUGGGACUACUUCAAACCGUGCAGUUUGUCAGGUGGAGGACUGUAAGGCUGAUCUUAGCAAUGCCAAGGAUUAUCACCGGAGGCAUAAGGUCUGUGCUAUGCAUUCUAAGGCAACUAAAGCGCUGGUUGGAAGUGUUAUGCAGCGGUUCUGUCAACAGUGUAGCAGGUUGGUUCCAUCCUAUUGUUAUUUAUUGUUUGGUUGAAACAUUUCCCCGAUUUUCUUGAAUUAACUUGAAAUACAGAGUUUGGUUGUGUAAAUUUUGUUGUCAUGCGUUUGUUGUGCAUGGCUGUUCAUCAAUCUUCUUACGGUAUGGUUGAGUUCUGCAGAAGGUUUUUUUUGUUGAAUUAAAUGUAACAGGGUUAACACUCGUGGACAGGUUUCAUGCUCUUCAAGAGUUUGAUGAAGGGAAGAGAAGUUGCCGUAGGCGUUUGGCUGGCCAUAAUAGGAGGAGAAGAAAAACACAUCCUGAUACUGCAGUUAAUGGAGGCUCUUUAAACAAUGAAGGCGGAAGCGGUUAUCUAUUGAUUAGCUUGCUGAGAAUACUUUCAAAUAUGCACUGUAAGUACUUGCCUUAUUCAUUGUACACUUCUGUCUUAGUGAAACAUUGUAUCUCAGAUUUAUUUGAAUCCGCAUAUUAUGCCAUUUAUAAAUUGCAGCUAGUAGUUCUGAUCAAACAAAGGAUCAGGAUGUCAUAUCUCAUUUGUUGAGGAGCUUAGCCAAUGUUGCUGGUACGGCUGAUGGAAGAAACAUAUCUACAUUGCUGCAGGGAUCUCAAGGUUUAUUUAACAGUGGGACAUCUGUCCAGACUGCACGAAGGGUUCUAGAUAUGAAUGCUGGUGUUAAUACUGAGGACCCUUUAAGGUCUAAAGGACACUGUUCGAUACUACCUGCAUCAAGAGACAGUUCUGAAUCCAAAUCAGUUACACCGGAAGCUACAAGUAGAAGGUUCCAGUUAAAUGAUUGAUUUAAAUAGUACAUAUGAUGAUUCACAGGACUAUGUAGAGAACCUAGGGAAUUCUCAUGUUCCUGCAAGUCCAGGCACUGCAUCUCUUGGUUUUCCUUCAUGGAUGCAGCGUGAUUCUCAUAAAUCAAGCCCACCUCAGACAAGUGGGAAUUCAGACUUAACUUCUACUCAGUCACCGUCAAGUUCUAGUGGAGAAGCUCAGGUAUAUCCUUGUAAUUGCAUCUAUUCCAUAAUUGCUUGGUAAUAUAAUGCUUAAAAAUGCCUUUGUCGUGGAUGAUGCUCAGCCCACUGUAAUUCGUCUUUUUUUUAAUCUUUUUUUCCAUGAGACCAGGGAUUAAUAUAUCAAUUGUCAUUAAUCAUUAUACGGCGUAUAACUUGUCUUUUGUUUGGAUAGUAGAAUACCUUUGUUCUAUCCUUGAGAGUAGUUAGGCAGUCAUGUAUUGUGUUCUGAACGUGUCUGUGUAUCUUUCCAUGGAUUGUCAAAAUAAUGGCGAGGUUAAGUGCGCUCGCUGCUUGGUUAUGGGAUAUAUGUAAGAAAUGCUUCAAUUGUGACUUAAAGUUGAGAUCAGUUAUCUCUUCCUUCAAACCAAUAUGGCAGUUUACAAGCGCAACCACACACACAAACAUACUUGUUGUGUAUACGUCUUCUUGAUGCUGUUAAUAGAAUUGAGGUUAAAGUUACCUGGUGGUUUCUGCAGUCCUAAUGGAACAUGCAUUAUUUAUGUAAAAGGCCAGUAUGUAGAAUGUAUCUGCAAUUUUACGUUUCUUGACUGCUCUUUUUCUGCCACAUAUCAGAGUCACACAGACCGAAUUAUUUUUAAACUAUUUGGAAAAGACCCUAAUGAACUUCCACUUGCUCUGCGAUCACAGGUACUAUAUUUCCUUUGAUUUUUCUAGUUUUCAAAGUACUUUUCAAAGUAUUUUGGUGUUUCAUUCCACGGACUCCAUGAUUUUUAUAAAUUAUUUGAAUAUCCAGAUCCUCGACUGGUUAUCUCACAGCCCUACCAACAUUGAAAGCUACAUAAGGCCGGGCUGUAUCAUUUUGACAAUUUACCUUCGUCUAGAAAAAUCCACGUGGGAGGAGGUAUUCUCGACUGUGGAUGGCAGAUCCUUGUAUGAGGAAGACUUUUUCUUCAAGUCCUUAAUUUUGACAAUUCACCUCUCCCAGACCCUGAUUAAAGCGGGAGCCUUGUGCACUGGGUACGACCUUUUUUUUUAUAAUUAUUUUUGCUUACAGUUCUGUUGUCAUCUGGGAUCCAGUUUGAAAACACUUCUUGAUGCUGCGGAUGAUCCUUUUUGGAGAACAGGAUGGGUGUAUACAAGGGUGCAAGAUUAUGUAGCAUUUACAUACAAUGGUUUGCCUCUCUCUCUCUCUCUCUCUCUCUCUCUCUCUCUCUCCCCCUCUCAUUUCGUGUGUGCGUACACAUUUGUGUAUUUAGGGUCUAUAGAAGAAUCUUGCUGUUUUAGUUUUCCAUUAUGCUUUAUUGAUUUUGGUCAUGCUUUGUUUUGUUAUUUCUAGUACAUAAUGAGGAUUGACCAAAAACAUUAACCUUAUAUGAGAGAAGCAUUUUGAUUAGUUAUGUCCAUCCUGCAGGUGAAGUUGUGUUAGACACACCCUUGCCUCUUAAAAGCAAUAAAAGUUGCAGGAUAUCAUGCAUCAAACCAAUUGCGAUCUCCUUAUCUGAGAGAGCUGAAUUUAUAGUAAAAGGCUUUAACCUUUCUAGUUCCACCACAAGGUUCUUUCAUCUUUCAUUCAUGCGUCAUUACUUUGUUUUCAAUAUUCCUCUCUAGUUUUAUAGGAUAACAGAAGAAAUACUAAAUUCUAGAUCUUGAGUCUUGACAGGUUACUCUGUGCUCUAGAAGGGAAGUAUCUGGCUCAAGAAACUUGUUAUGACUUGUUGGAUGAUGCGGAUAGCACUGUUGAGGAUGACGAACAACAAUGCCUUAAAUUCUCCUGCUCUAUACCAAAUGUUACUGGGCGAGGAUUCAUUGAGGUGCUGUCAUAUUCCUAAUUGUCCCUUUCCCCCUUCCUCCUCUUGUAAUGUGCAUUUUGAACGAGCCGUAUUUUAUAAGUCCGGAAUUUGUUUAUAAAUCUUCUUAUGAAUACUGAGUAUAGAUUUGUUUCUAGACAGCGCCUUAACUGAAAUCCACGGUUCUCAUUUUAUUGGUCAAAUUUAUGUCAGGUUGAAGAUCAUGGUCUCAGCAGUAGCUUCUUUCCAUUUAUAGUUGCAGAGCAGGAAGUAUGCUCUGAGAUUUGUAUGCUGGAAGAUGUGAUUGAGGUGUCCGAGACUGAUGAUGAUAUCCAAUCUGGACCUGAAAAAGUGGAAGCUAAGAACCAAGCCUUGGACUUUAUACAUGAAUUGGGUUGGCUCCUACAUAGAAGUCGCGUUAAGUUUAGACUGGGUCAAUUGGAUCCCAAUCUAGAUACAUUUCCCUUUAGACGGUUCAGAUUGCUCAUGGAGUUCUCCAUUGACCAUGAUUGGUGUGCUGUGGUGAAGAAACUCUUGGGCAUUCUGUUUGAUGGUACUGUCGACGCUGCAGAGCAUCCUUCCCUUGAGUCUGCACUACUGGAUAUGGGCCUCCUCCACAGAGCUGUGCGAAUCAAUAGCAGACGUAUGGUGGAAUUCUUGUUAAGAUUUGUCCCAGGUUUAACAGGAUCUGAGCAGAAGGAACAAGUUGACAGGGACGGCAACAGUUUCUUGUUUAAACCUGAUGUUGUUGGGCCCAUGGGGUUGACUCCUCUUCAUAUUGCCGCCAGUACUGAUGGCUGUGAGCAAGUAUUGGAUGCCUUAACUGAUGAUCCUGGAAAGGUAAUAUCUCCGUUUUUUGAAUUGCAACAUAAUAUUUUUCUUCUAAUUCUAUGUAGAAAUCACUUUGCGCUGGCUACAACCUCCAUCCCAUCUCCAUACCCAUUUGAACUCUUGCGCCUACAGUUGACCUGUGUCUGUUCUCAUACUGUUUCACACACGUGUUUUGAUGAUUUUAACUCAUUCUAAUUUCCAGCAUGUCAGGUUGCUCACGGAUUUUAGAUCUGUAAUCAUGUCUUCUUUGACUUUGAGCUCUCUCUUUAGCUUUUCCACUGUCUUCUGCCUAAACAAAAUACACUGAUUCCAGUUAUUGAGUUGUAUUUCAAAUUCUCAAUUAACCAAUCCUAGACAAAUUAUGCAGUCUUGUAUUUUCUUUGGCUUGCGAAACAUAUGAAACAUAAAUCACCGUAGAAAAGUUAAAUGCGCCAUUCAAAUUGGUAAAGAAAGCAGCACCCCACAUCUAAAUGCAUGCUAACUCUUUCACAGCUGAAAGCGGCACCCAAAUUCUACAUUCAACUUGAAAUCAAAUAGGACUGCUGUUAAAAUUUUUGACGAUAAAUGAAUUAUGAUUCUUUUCAUCGUUCUAGUUUCAACUUUCAAGCAUGUGUUUAGGACUGCUGUCAUGAAAUUUCUUUAGUGUCAGAUAAUCCAUUCAUCAAGUUGAUAUGGGCGUUUUUUUCUUUAGGUGGGAAUUAAAGCAUGGAAAAACACUCGAGACAGCACAGGAUUGACACCAUAUGAUUAUGCAUGCCUUCGAAGCCGCUACUCCUAUGUCCAUAUAGUCCAGCGGAAAAUCAGCAAUACACUGGAAAGCGGGCAUGUGGUGCUUGACAUCCCUGGCCUCACGUUAGACAGAAAUGGAAAGCAGAAGCAAUCGGAUGCGCAUAAAUCAUCAAGAGUAGCCAGCUUGGAAACUGAAAGGAAUGAUAUAAAAGCAAUCUUACGACACUGCAGGUUAUGUGAACAGAAACCAGCUUAUAGCACCACACGGUCACUUGUAUACAGGCCGGCAAUGCUGUCAUUGGUGGCUGUCGCUGCUGUCUGCGUUUGCGUGGCCUUGCUCUUUAAAAGCAAUCCGGAAGUUGUUUUCGUGUUGGAGCCAUUCCGGUGGGAACACUUGAAGUUUGGUUCAAGCUAAGGUUAUAGUUUACGUGUAUUAAUUUAUAGUGACUCUGGUUAUACAUAGACCAUUUCUUUUCACGUGGAUAGGAGUAUAUUUUCUAUCUGAUUUUUAUAUGUAUAUCUAGGGCCACUCAAGCCAACAAGACUCUUCGCAUUGCAAUGGUCGGAACGUCUAUCGUAUCUGUAUUUGUAUACCUAAGCUUCCAAAAUAAACAUGGGCUGUCAUGGAUUUUGGUCCACCAGGUUUGAUUGUAUUUGUAUUUGUAUAACAGUGUUACAAACUGGAUGACACAUAAUUUCUCUGUUUGAUAUUUCUUUUUUUUUUUUCAAAAUAAACAUUUGGCACGAGGUGAUUCGGUGUUCGAUUAUUAGUGCAUUUACUGUAUAAAUUAAAUUUUAAUUUUAGAAAAUUCAGCAUUUUUGUUGGUUAUAUUGGAGGAAAUCGAACUUUGGUCUACUCUAAUUCUAACUUAUUACCAUACCCUCCUCCAUUAUUUGAGCUCAUAUAAGCAUAAGCACACUAAACAAGGUUAAGUAUAGAAGAAUUUGGGAAUUGAGAAUUAUUGUUUGAGCAUUAUUUCAUGUUUAGUGCAAAUUGAGGUUGAAUUAUUUUCUAAUUUUAUUAGUUUAAUCAUUUGGAUGAAUUUGUUCAUGCUUCCAUAUGAAAUCAUUAUUUUAUUAAAAUAAUUUAUUAAUAGUUCGAGAAAAACUUAAAUGGAGGUGCUCACGUCAUUCAUCACGCAUUCACAUUCACAUUCGUUACACGUUUCUCAUAAAAACAUAAAACUCUUUCAAAUGAAUAGGUUUCACUGAAUUUGGAUAAUAUCCGACUUUACAUAAGUACAAGUAUCAAUGCACAUGAUUCCAACCAGUAAUUAUUAUCUUAUUUGAAUUACUUACCCCGAAUCAGACCUGAAAAAGUGUAAUUUAUUCAAAUUUUAUUUUCUGAAAUUCAAAAAAAUAAAAUAAAAUUUGAGGAUAAGAAAAUAAAGGGUAAAGAGGUCAUUUGCAUGCCCUGCCUCCUAAAAUCCACCUCACUACUCACUACCCCGUCACUGCUCUAACAAUUUUGCAGGCCAAAGCCAUCCAUGGCUUCUUCAAUCUCUCUCUCCUUCUCUUCCUCUCUCCUCCCUCAUCCUCUUCCUUUCAACAAAUACUCCACCGCCACCGCCGCCGCCUCCCAGAAAUCCCAAUACCCCAACUUUAAGCUGCUCCUCCGCGCAUUCGCCAACCCAGCUGUAAGCCGUCGCUCCACUCCAUCUCCGUCUUCCGACACCAGAAAGAGGCACUGGAAGAAAGGUGAAUACCCAGGCGUCUCGGAGACGUCGGCUCCGGCGAAUUACAGAAAAACCCCUGGUCGUUCCACUUCAUCUGAGUCUUCCGACACCAGAAAGAAGCACUGGAAGCGAGGUGAGUUCCCGGGCGUCUCGGAGACGUCGACUCCGGCGAAUCACAGAAAAACCCCUGGUCGUUCCACUUCAUCUGAGUCUUCCGACACCAGAAAGAAGCACUGGAAGCGAGGUGAGUUCCCGGGCGUCUCGGAGACGUCGACUCCGGCGACUUACAGAAAAACCUCCGCUCGUUCCGCUUCAUAUCCGUCUUCCGACAACAGAAAGAAGCACUGGAAGCAAGGGGAGUUCCCGGGGGUCUCGGAGACGUCGAUUCCGGCUAUUUAUAGAAAACCCCCUUUGAAAAAUGUGAAGAAGAAGCUGGACCGGAAGAACAAUGCCAAGGCCUGGGUCAACACCGUCACGGAGGCCCUGUCAGACGCCAUUGACAAGAAGCAGUGGCUCCAAGCUCUUGAGGUUUUUGUCUUAAUCUAAACAAAAAUUAACAAAUUUUUCAUCUUUUUUCUUAUGUGUUUUUAGUUUGGUGAAUGUAAAUUGAUGCAAAAUUUAAAAAAAUGGUAUUUUUAUGCUUACCAAUUUAGUUUCUUGAACCAUGUUCUUGAAAAAUGUGAUCUUUUUAGCUGAAUGAUUUUAGUGGAAUUAUAAUUAAUUGGGUGUUUUUGUUUGGAAAAUGUAUGAUGAAAUUGGGUACUAUUACGUUCAGGUGUUUGACAUGCUUAGGGAACAACCAUUUUAUCAACCGAAAGAAGGGACUUACAUGAAACUCAUUGGUAUGCUUGGAAGGUGCGGCCAACCCAAUCGUGCCCGCCAGCUUUUCGAUACAAUGGUUGAAGAGGGCUGUGAACCAACUCUUGACCUUUACACAGCCUUGCUCGCGGCUUAUUGCCGGAACAAUCUGAUUGACGAGGCAUUUUCUGUUCUUAACCUGAUGAAGACUCUCCCGCAAUGCCAGCCUGACGUUUUUACUUACAGUACCUUGAUAAAGGUUUGCAUUGAUCAUUUGAAGUUUGAUUUAGUUGAGUCCUUGUAUGAGGAAAUGGCUGAGCGGUUGAUAGCUCCGAAUACAGUCACCCAAAACAUAGUGUUGAGUGGAUAUGGUAAGGCCGGGAAGUAUGACCAGAUGGAAAAAGUGUUGUCCGGGAUGCUGGAGGGUACAAGUUGCAAGCCUGAUGUCUGGACAAUGAAUGUUGUCCUUAGUGUGUUUGGAAACAAGGGUCAGAUAGAUAUGAUGGAGAGAUGGUAUGAGAAAUUCCGUGAUUUUGGGAUUGAGCCGGAAACUCGCACUUUGAACAUUCUGAUUGGUGCUUACGGGAAGAAAAGGCUGUAUGAUAAGAUGUCAACUGUGAUGGAGUACAUGCGCAAGCUUCAAUUCCCAUGGACAACCGCAACUUACAACAAUGUGAUAGAGGCUUUCGCGGACGUAGGAGAUGCAAAAAACAUGGAAUACACGUUUGAACAGAUGCGUGCUGAGGGCAUGAAAGCAGACACCAAAACAUUCUGCUGCCUUAUUAAUGGGUAUGCCAAUGCAGGCCUCUUCCAUAAGGUGGUUAGCUGCGUUCAGUUGGCUGGAAAGUUUGAGAUACCUGAGAAUACCACAUUUUACAAUGCGGUGAUAGCUGCAUGUGCAAAGGCAGAGGAUUUAAUGGAGAUGGAAAGAGUUUUCAACCGGAUGAAAGAGAAGCAAUGUCAACCGGAUUCCACAACAUACUCUGUCAUGGUUGAGGCAUAUAGUAAGGAAGGUAUGAACGACAAGAUCUACUACUUGAAGCAGGAGAUUGGUACUGAUGGUAAUCAAAGUGAUCAGAUUAGUGUUGAAGAAAAUCAAAGUGAUCAGAUUAGUGCCGAAGAGAAUCAGAGUGAUCAGAUUAGUGUGGAAGACAAUCAGAGUGAUCAGAUUAGUGAUGAAGGCAAUCAAAGUGAUCAGAGUAGUUUUGAAGAUAAUCAAAGUGAUCAGGCUUUUGGAGCUGAGUCUGGCGGUGUUGUCUAGUUGAGAUCUUUGGAGGCAACAGUAUGCUCCAAAAAUCCCUAAUCUCACAGGGCAAUUCCAUUCCCCGCAGUUCUUCUAAGGCAGCAGCAAACUCUUAUUGUGAAAUUGCCGAUCGAUCAGGUAAUCAAACAUUUCCAUUCUCGGAUGGGUGUUAGCAAUGCUGCUUCCUCCAAUUUUAUGUUUCUGGUGAAGGACUGUAUGGAUUGAUCUGAUAGACUGAUAACCCGGGUGAAACUUUAUGGAAAAUGAUUGUACAUACAGAGUUGAUAAGUGUCUCUCUCCAAACUUGAUGCGAUCUCUAAACUAGCAUGCAAAAUUGUACGACGAUUUGUAAGAGUGUUUAACUGUGUUCAACAGAGGAAUUGCUUUUUGUUAUUGCCUGAAAUGUUUUGAAUGUAACUUCACGUAUAUAUUGUCUGCAGCAGCUGCUGGACAAUCAUAGAAGGUGGUCUGUAAACACGUUGUUUUUGAAAAUUAAUCGCUCUUUUCGGUACAUUUUGUGCUGCUGUUGUUCGAAUGUUUUGGCACUUGAGGCAGACAAUUGAUCUGCAAUUAUCCCAAAAUGUAAGGGUCCAGCUCAACAAAACGCAGGGGUAAUUUGAUCAAAGAUGUAAGUUUUGUUAUAUUGACUUUUGAGUAGCAUUGGUAGUGUAAUAAACAAUAUCAGUAACGUUGAAUAAUAAUAAAUUUUACUUGGAUGCCGGCGUGUGUAGUAAGAAUAUGUCCAAAGUGGUUUGGACAACGACAUGAUGGUGCGUUAACUAAUAUGAUCUUAUCACGUGAUGAGAGAUAAAGGAGAGAUGAAUGUAUUCGUGACCUGGAGGUUAUUCUACACGUAAACUUGUAAAGAUAGGCAAACAGGGUGCUUUUUGGUUGAAACGAAAUGCUGAAUUGUUUACUCUUUCUUGUGUAAGAAGAGAAGACUUGUAUCGUAAUCAGGUACUAAUUGUUGUCUUUUGGUCCCACCUUACCUCACACUAUAAAUAAUGGCAUCUAAACCCGAUUAUUCACAGAGAAGCUUUCACAAAAGCAUAAAACUCUUAUAUUUUGGUUUCACUCGCCUCAAACUAGUCUCCCUCGUUGAAAUAGCUAACCUAGUUAGGAACUGUACACAAGUUUCUCUCGUAUCGAAGAAAGUCAAAGAAGUUUUUAGCUCACAAAAGCACAUAACCCCCUAUAUAUUCCAUUUGAAUCACCAUUUACAAAAUUUGUACUAACUUUCCAGUCGAAGAUAGGAUAGUUUCGACAAGUAUUGAACGGCUAAGAUAACUUUAUUUAUUACAUGAAUGGCUAAGAUUAAAAACAAGGGCACGUAGACGAAUACAAACAUCUUCAAUGAGAGGAUCCACCAUUUCUACCAUUGGAAAUUUAAUUUCCUUACAGAAUAGGCGAAAAGUGAAGCGAAAACAAUCGGGAAAGCAAUGAGAACAAUCGCCACGAGGAAUAAACGAUCGUGAUGGAAGCCAUAGUAGUCUUGAAGGAAGGAAGCAACUGUUUUCUGCUCCCCAAAAAUCAAAAUCUCUUUGUUCAUGUCUCCAUAUUGUGAACUGAGGAGGGCAUUUAGGGACCAUGAUGUAGGACAAAUCCAAUAGAACCAAAUCCACCACUUGGGAAUUUUCUGCAUAAAAUAUAUAGAACAUGGUCCGCUAGGCUCACAGUAAACCGUCAUAUUAAGGGUUUAUUUGGCACUGCUUCUUUAGAAAGAACUUUUGCUUAUAAAUUAUAAGCGCUUUUUCUGUAAGUUGUUUAAUAGAGUUAUGUUGCAAAAAAAGCAGUUGGGAGGGCUUCGCAUACUAAAAGCUCUUAAAGUUUUACUACAUAGUCUUUUGGCUUUUCUAGAAGCAGUCUCAAACAGGGCUAAAGACUAAAGAGAGAGUUAGAUUUAGUUACCGGCCCGAGCACAAGGAAGCCGGAAAAAAGAUUCAAUAUGGUGUAGAUUGCCGUUGCGAAAAUGGAAGCUACUUGCAGGCUUGUGCUAAAAGAAGCUAUCAGCAUCCCAAGGUAUACAAAUUAGAGAAAUGUAGAGAAUGUUGCAUGGAAGUACCAGAAAACCUUAGUAGCUGACCAAUAGUACCCUAUUGUAGGGUAUGUAAUAAUGACAUACAGAAUUGCUUGAACCACUUUGUAAGUUAUUUCAAUGGCCACCUACAACAACAUUCAAAAUUUCGACAUGUUAAAAACCUUUCCACUACAAGCUACGUUAUAGUACCAGUUAAAAUGUACGAACCUGUGCAAACGAAUGAGCGUUUGAUGAGUACAUCCCAGCAAAUCUUUCCCGGUACAGAACUGCGCGCUCAGUAGCCACGUAAGGCAGAACCGUCGAGCAAUUGGUUGUGCCCAAAAAUAUUACAGCAAUGUACAGUAACCCAAGCACGUUGAACAAAUCAUGCUCAUUGUUUCUUGAGGAACAAGAAAAACACAGGAUUUAGCGUUGUUGAGCAAAAAUUGUACAUAAUAUGUAAACAAAUAAUUCUCUCGACAUAAUUUCACCCUCGUUCAUUUUUCGAAGAGGGUUUUAUUAGUUUGAGUUUGAUUCAUUCUAGGUUACGCGCCUAUUAAUUACAACCUUUCUUUUGGGAAAGGAAUACCCUUUGAUUCUAAUAUGAAUAAAUCGUAAUUUGAGGAUUUGGGUGUUUAUUUGAUUUUGUGACUGUAUCUAGGUAGAGCCCUAGAUUGCCUACGUACCCUCGUUGAGGGAUCAAAUCACUCGUAGUUCCUUAUGUGUUUUGUUGGGGUUUGACGCCUUGUGCAGUUUCAGCUCAUGCAGAUGAGGAUUUUAAGCCGUUGGAGCUUUAAUAAAUUUGAUAUGGUUUUAUGCCAUUCUGAAAUUUGAUACGGCUUCGUGCCAGUUAACAUAGCUUCGUGCCACUUGAGAUUUUGUUGCGGCUUCAUGCCAUUUGAUAUUUGACUUUUUCUUCGGCUUUACGGCUUCGUGCCAUUGAAUUGGCUUUGAGCCAUUUGAGGCAGCUUUGUCCCAUUUAAAGUGGUUUUAUGCCGCUUAAACGUUGAGUAAAAUUAACAGGUUUAUUUCUGAUAAACCCACUAAUAUUUUGGCAUUUGACUCUGGCUUGGUACCAUUUCUUACUCCAUGUUUAAUUUUACUUUUCCUUUUUCGUUUGCCCUUUCUUCUGACAAAUUUGUAGAGAAUCAUGCUUGGAAUAAAAAAAAAAUUUCCUCUGUUCCUUCAUGGGAUUUACUCCACAAGGGUUUUGUUCAAAGCAGCAGAAGUGAAUUUAGUUUAUACAAACCAGGGAUUCAUCUUGAUUUCUUGGUUGCGUCUAAAAUUUGAUAUCAGACUGCCUACGUAUCCUUAACGGAAUCAAACCGGCGUAGUUCGUAACUUUUGAGACUCAUCGCGGCUUUGUGCCAUUUGAUACUUGAUAUGGAUUCGUGCCAUUUGAAGUUUGACGGAGCCUUGUGGCAUUUGUGUCUUGUAAAUAUUUGUGAUGAACCCACUUUUACAUUGGUAUUUGACUUUGUCUUCCUUUUCAUUUAUUUUGUCUUGGAACCCAUUUUAUUUUGCCUACAAGCCCGUCACUCUAUUGUUGCCCUUUAUUUUUUUGCAUGGUAGCACAAAAAAAAUCCUUGCUUUCAUAUGGAAAAUAUAAAAGCAAGAGUCAAAGCUCCUUUAUUUUUACCAAUGCCUUUUUCAAGCUUUUAAGUCCCUUGCUUUUCUUCUUUCUUUAUUUUUCUUUUGUCAUUGCCGUAUGUCUCCCUAAGAACAACUCCACUUUUGGAGCCCUUUCUCCAUGCAAUCCACUAUUCAAUCCACCAUGUAAACAGUAAUUACCCUUAAUAAACAGUAACUACUUUUGUAUCUCAACCCUUGCACUUGAAUACCCUUGGCAAUAGGCAAUAAAAUAUUAAUUUUUAUAAUUAAUAUUAUAUUAUUUAAUUUGUACAAAUUAAUAUUAUAUUAUUAAUUUAUCUUUUCCAAUCUCUUCCCGAAACUUCUACCAUUUUUGUUUUCUUCUUCCUUCCCACUCUCUCACUCCCCUCUCCCUCAUUGUCUUCUUUUUUUUCUCCGGCCGACAGUCUACCUCCCCUCUCUCUUUUUCUCCCCCAUUUCUCCCUGUUUUCUUCCUCAAACGAGGAAGCUGCGAAUUUUGAGAGAGAGCAGCACCGAACCCACCCGCCUCCCGCCAUGUCUAAAUCCACUGAUGUGUCUUUCUUCCUCCUCAUGGUCCUCUGCGGCCAGGCCCAAAGAGGCCGCCUGCUUCUUUCCGACUUCAACCAAUCAACGUCAUCCGAUCUGAUCUCCGAUAGAGUCCACCACCACCACCGGUCCCACACCCUGGCUCCCUACCUCACUCUCGAGAACGCCCUUUCGGCGGAAGACUCCACCUGCAAGCAGACCUACGUUUUCCUGCCUUGCACCACCACUGUGAUCGACAACCUUUCCUAAUUCCUGACAGAAAAAAAUUAAAAAAAAGGACUGACGCCAGCCUGACGUCAGCCCCUACUCGGGCUGGCAAUUCCUCAUAGACCCUUUGCUCGGGCCUUGGCUGCUGCUUGGGCUUGCUCACGCUGGAGCUGGUCGACAGGGCCUUGGGCUCUUUCUUCUCCCCCCGUCCCUCGAGCAGGAGCUUCCGCUAAAGCUGCUCUAAUGGUUCGAAGAUGAUGGAAUCCAAUUUGAAAUGGCACAAGUUAAAUUUCCAUAAAGAACUCCCAUAACUUUAUUGACCCCUACGUGAGCAACUUUCCAUGUGAGGUGCUGAUUUCAGUUAGCAUUCUUCUUUGAUCUUUUCAAACCCAUUUAAACAUGGGACUUCGAACCUAUCUGACCUAAACUUCUGACCAAUCUGAGAGCAAGCCUUACUCUUUUCUUUGUUUGACUUCAAAGGUCUCCAAAUUCCAAUAAGACUUUAUCCCAUACUUUAAAUGGGGGAACCAUGACUUUCUUUUGUCUUCCACGACUUUCUUUUGUCCUCCACGUGAGUGGUUUUCUUGCUAUGAAGUAAAAGAAGACCACAUCAACAUUUUUUUAACUUUACUUUUGAUUUGACAAAAGCUUUUUGGUCUGGAACUCUUCUUCUCUCCUUAUGAGUUUUAAACAUUUUUUUUUCUUUGUCUUCAACCUUGAAUUUAGCUUUGCCCAACAUUUGACAAUAACUUACUUCAUCUUUGAGGUGCCACGUAUUUAGCCUUUUUUAAAAAAAACAAGCACUUUCUUUUGAGUUUUCUGUUUCCUGCAUGGAUUUGUCUUCACAGGGGUAAAACUAGUCUUCGACUAAAAUCACGAAUCAUCUUUUGCUUGUUGGAGAUUUUUUCUUCAAUUCCUAAUUUAAACAGGAAUUUGAAUGAAACUUGGUCAGUGGCAACUAGCGCCUAUUCUUCUUUGGCUGGGCUUUCUUUGGGUUUCUGUCUCAAUGAAGAACGCCAAAAGUUUUUGAAGAAGACCAUGGCCCGUCGACCGACAGAAGCUUCGGGACCAUAGCUGGGCAUGUUGGGUUCUUGUUCUCCACUUGUUCAAAUGUGCAGAGUGACGGCUUAUUCUCCGUUGCAUCUCUGAAAAGAGGAAGGGAGAUGUCGAAAACUUCUUUAGACACCCAAGAGGCUACAGGAGGUUGUGGGAAGACGAUUUGCUGCUGUGUUUUGAUGAAAUCUCCGUUGGACAUCACAAGUUGCAGGGUGUCGAUGAUGUUGAAGACAUGGCGCAGCUGCUGUCUCUGUUUGGGCUUCCGUCUAACGUCGGCGGUUUAUUGCAAUGUUGCCUUCAUUAGCUAUUUCACACCGCUGCCAUCUUCUUGCUCAAACCUUCGUCAAAUUUGUUGAUGGUCUGGACUGGCGUGCCCAACUACGUCACCUGGUUUCAUCACCUUCGGAUCACGAACUGCACUGCCCUUGGGCUUCUUCCGGAGGACUGACAGAGACGACGGUUGAAAAAUGGUGGUGUUGCCGUAGUGCAGUGAUCACCUAGACCUGGUUGGAACUUCACGGGGUGGUUUAGACCACCCCGAAGAAAUUCAUGGGACUGGGGAUGGGAGAGAAACAAAUUGUUUUUUUUUCUUCUUGCAAAGCCGAGAGAAAGCAUACAAAGAAAGAUUUAGAAGGAUAGAUUUAUACCUUUAAAUGCUUUGUAGCAUUUCCUGCUCUUUGUUCUUGCGGGUAGCACUUGAUAUCUUCUUCUUUUUUCUUCUUUUGUUUCUCUUUUGCCUUUGCUCUCUUGCUUUGCCUCUCAUUCUCUGUUGUCUUCAUUGCGCUUUUCUGUCUCUCAAUUUUUGCAGAGUACCCUUGUCUUUUUUUUUUUUUUUUCUCUUGCUGUAGUUGAUGCCUAUUUAUAGGCAUCCCAAGUAAAGGAUGAUACAUUCCUGAUCUCUUGGGAUUGUUUCCUGUUUCAUCAUGAUUUCCAGAUUUCCCUGUUUUAUUAAAACAUUCCCCUUAUGUAUUCUUUGUAGAUUAAUUAUACUUGUAAAUCAAGUCAUUGUACACUAUUUAAAUCAAUGAUAAUGCACCCUCUAGGGCAUCGAGGGAUUGAGCCAAAAUACCUUCUUUUGAGUUAUCUUUUAUGGUACUCAGAGCCAGUGACUAACGUCUUUUUUUUCUUUUCGGAUUCUUCCUACUCUUCUCCAUGGCUGCCUCAACCAGUUCGACUACUCCUUCCUCCGACAUCUUCCCUUCUGUUUCUCAUGCGAUCUCCAUCAAACUUGACUCUUCCAAUUAUCCUCUUUGGUUGGCUCAGUUGCUACCUGUUCUUCGCAGUCGUCAAUUGUUGGCUUUUGUUGAUGGUACUUCCAUCUGCCCCUCGGCGUUCUUGUCCGACGAUACCGGCAACGCCUCUUCCAAACCCAACCUCGCGUAUGCUGACUGGGUUCAGAAGGACCAGCUUGUUCUUUCUUGGAUCAAUGGCUCUCUUGGUCACCAGGCCCUCGCCGCCACUGCUCGUCAUUCCACUGCCCGUGAUGUUUGGGUUGCUCUUCAGCAGCGUUUUGCUUCUACAAACCAAAGUCGCAUUCUUCAGCUUCGUACUGCUUUCUUCCAGACCAAACGAGGUGAUUCUUCAAUUUCUGACUUUCUUGAUAAGAUCAAUGGUAUUGCCGAUCAAUUGGCCCUUGCCGGGGCACCUGUUUCUGCUGAUGACAUGGUGCCGGUCGUCAUGUCUAAUGUCGGCCCCAAAUUUGAGAACACUGUUGCUGCUGCUCAGGCCCGUGACAACCCCAUCUCCCUUUCUGAUCUUGAGGCUCUUCUUCUCGUUGCUGAACUCCGCCUUGCUGAUCCUCCUGCUCCGCCGGACUCCAGCGUCUCGGCCCUGGUAGCCUCCCGCGGCUCUUCUGCCUUUCAUGGCCGCUCCUCUUCUGAUCGCGGCGGCGAUCGUGGCUCUGGCCGUUUCUCACGUGGGGGUGGUCGUCCUCAACAUGAUGGGUCUCGCAACAAUGGUGGUGACGGCUAUCGUGGCUAUCGCGGUGCUGGUGGUUUCCAUGAUCGUCCGUUUCGCGAUCGUGGUGGUGGUCGUCCUCAGCACGAUGGCUCUCGCUUCCGUGGCUCCAACAAUGCUUCUGGGGUUCUUGGUCCAGCCCCAUAUCACGGUUCCUCCCGUCCUCGCUGCCAUAUUUGCAAUACUUUUGGUCAUGGUGCUCUUGACUGUGCUCAACGUCUUAAUUUGGCUUAUGAAGGUCGUCCUCCUUCUUCCCGUCUCACUGCCUUGACUGCUCAGCACUCCCAGCCUUGGCUCAUUGAUUCCGGGGCAAACUCGCAUAUCACCAAUGAUCUCAAUACUUUGUCUCAGUCCCGUGAUUAUCGUGGUGGUGAUUCCGUCGGUGGUGUCGUUGGCGGUACAGGUUUGCCCAUUAACCGUAUUGGCUCCUCCACUCUCUCUCAUAAUAAUAUUUCUUUCAAGCUUAAUGAUGUUCUUCAUUGUCCGGAUGCUUCUACUUCUGUGUUGUCUGCUAAUCGGUUUAUGUUGGAUAAUAAUUGUUAUAUUACAUUGUUUCCUUCUUGUUUCUAUAUUCAGGAUAUGGAGACGGGGACGAUUCUUUUUUCGGGCAAGAGUAGCAAUGGCUUUUAUCCCUUUUCCUCUUCAUCACCGACUGCUCAUGGUCGUGCUGCUUUUCUUGGUGUUCGUGUUGGUAGUGAUGUCUGGCACUCUCGUUUAGGCCAUCCAUCUUCUUCCAUUUUAAAAUUUCUUUUUUCUAGGCAUUCGAAUAAGUUGCCUGUUUCUGGCAACCUCAAUCUCAAUACUUUUAUGUGUCAUUCUUGUCCUUUAGGCAAAAGUGUUAAGUUACCUUUUUCUGCAUCAUUGUUUGUUACUCAAGCUCCUCUUGAGCUUAUUCACUCCGACGUGUGGAGUGCGUCCAAUAAAUCUGUUAGUGGUUUCCAAUAUUAUGUUCUUUUUGUUGAUAAUUUCUCUCGUUAUUCUUGGAUUUAUCCCAUGAAAUUGAAAUCUGAAGUCUUUAAUAUUUUUACUCACUUUAAGACCUUGGUUGAAAAUCAAUUCUCCACUAAAAUUAAGAUGUUUCAGUCCGAUGGUGGGGGCGAAUACACUAGUCACCAAUUCAAGAAUUUUUUUCUUCACCAUGGUAUUCAUCAUCGUCUCUCAUGCCCUCACCAUCCCGAACAAAAUGGUUUGGCGGAACGCAAACAUCGUCACAUUGUCGACACUGGACUUACUUUAAUGGCCCAUGCGUCGAUGCCUCCUGCCUAUUGGGCUAAGGCCAUGCACACAGCAGUUUAUCUUCUCAAUCGCCUCCCCUCUAAAGUACUUGGUUUUAUGUCUCCUUAUCAAAAGUUGUUUCUUAAGGAACCUGAUUAUAGUUUUUUAAAGACCUUUGGGUGUGCAUGUUUUCCCCACCUACGACCCUAUAAUAAUAAUAAACUCCAGUUUCGUUCUACUAAAUGUGUUUUUCUUGGUUACUCUCUCAAUCAUCAAGGUUCUCGGUGCUUAGACAUCUCUACUAACCGCAUCUUUUUAUCACGCCAUAUUGUGUUUGAUGAAGGUAAUUUUCCUUUCAAGGCCAUCUCUGGCUCUCUUGCCCCAUCCUCCCCGGCCUCGUCUCCUCCUCCUGUUUUAGAAAUCACUGGGCCUCUUCCGCAUGCCCCCCGACCGUCUAGCAGCCAACCGGUGGUUGUGUCCCCCUCUUUGGAGACUCAUCAAUCCAGUCCAUCAUCCGACCCACCACAGCCGGCCCUACAGGUUUACUCCCGUGACCCUCACAGGCGGGUUCUUUCUUUUGCACAAGCAGCAACCCCAUCUGUCACUCCCAGGCCCACGCCUGCUGUUGCCUCUGCAGUUCAACCUGAUGCGCCUCCCGAGGCUCCAUCUGCUGCUGUACCACCUGCCGUGCCCUCUACUUCCCAUGGUAUGCUCACUAGGUCCAAAACGGCUUCUCUUAAGCCUCAUAAAUAUGUUUUUUCUGCUGCCAUUUCUUCUUCUACCGGUCCUAUUGAGCCUACUUGUUUUAGUCAGGCCAACACUUUUCCCGAAUGGCGUACUGCGAUGGCCGAUGAAUUUAAUGCACUUCAACGUGCUGGUACUUGGACUCUUGUUCCUCGUACCGCUUCUAUGAAUAUUUUGCCAAACAAAUGGGUGUUUCGUAUUAAACAGAAUUAUGAUGGGUCUAUUCAGCGGUAUAAGGCUCGUUUGGUAGCCAAUGGUUUUCAUCAGCAACCCGGCCUUGAUUAUGGUGAAACUUUUAGUCCUGUUGUCAAUCACUCUACUAUUCGCUUAAUUUUGGCUCUUUCAGUUCAGUUUCAAUGGCCUGUUCGUCAGUUGGAUGUUCAGAAUGCUUUUCUUCAUGGCUCUUUGUCUGAGGAGGUCUAUAUGCACCAACCUCGUGGCUUUGUUGAUCCACAGUUCCCUCAUCAUGUGUGCCGCCUUCGUCGUUCUUUAUAUGGGCUCAAGCAGGCGCCCCGUGCAUGGUUCCAAUGUUUUUCCACUCAUUUGGAAGAUUUGGGUUUUCGUCCCUCUACUGCGGAUCACUCGCUUUUUACCUAUAUUCAUGGCUCUACUCGCAUUUAUCUCUUAAUUUAUGUUGAUGAUAUUUUGGUCACCGGGAAUAAUCCCUCAUAUUGUCACCCUCAUUAAGAAUUUGGGCAUCCGUUUCUCUAUGAAGGACCUUGGACCGGUUCAUUAUUUCUUAGGCAUGGAGGUGGUCCGCACUCCAUCAGGUCUCUCUCUUUCCUAACAAAAGUAUGCCACUGACCUACUUCACCGCACCAAAAUGCAUGGUGCUAAGCCGGUUCCUACUCCUGCCGUUAGUGGGCGACGGCUCAGUCUUCAGGAUGGUGACCCUCUGCCGGAUCCUAUUGAAUACCGAAGUGUUGUCGGCGCCCUUCAAUACUUGACUCUCACUCGUCCCGACAUCAACUUCGCCGUCAACCAAGUCUGCCAAUUUCUUCACCAGCCGACUUCUACUCAUUGGGCCGCCGUCAAACGCAUUCUUCGUUACCUUGUCGGCACUACUUCUCACGGUCUUACCUACAAGCCUGGUUCCUUUCGUCUUACAGCAUUUUCCGAUGCCGAUUAUGCCGGGAUCCUGAUGAUCGGCGUUCCACCGGGGGCUAUUGCUUGUAUCUGGGUUCCAAUCUUGUCUCAUGGAGUGCCAAGAAACAAAAUGGGGUCUCUCGGUCCAGCACUGAAGCCGAGUAUCGUCAACUUGCAAUCACCGCUGCCACUCUUUCAUGGUUUCGUAUGCUGUUCCGUGACCUCCAGUUUCCUCUACAUUGUCCUACACUGUUUUGUGACAAUAUCAGUGCUAUAUCCCUUGCUUCCAACCCGGUGUUUCAUGCCCGCACUCGGCAUGUUGAGGUGGAUUACCAUUAUGUUCGUGAAAAGGUUGUUCGCAAGGAGAUUGAUGUUCGUUAUCUUUCUACUCAUGAUCAGAUUGCUGACUUCUUCACCAAGGGCCUUUCUCUUCCUCGUUUUCGACUUCUGGUUUCCAAGCUUCCUGUACUUGAUUGUACUGUCAGCUUGCGGGGGCGUAAAGGAUGAUACAUUCCUGAUCUCUUGGGAUUGUUUCCUGUUUCAUCAUGAUUUCCAGAUUUCCCUGUUUUAUUAAAACAUUCCCUUUAUGUAUUCUUUGUAGAUUAAUUAUACUUGUAAAUCAAGUCAUUGUACACUAUUUAAAUCAAUGAUAAUGCACCCUCUAGGGCAUCGAGGGAUUGAGCCAAAAUACCUUCUUUUGAGUUAUCUUUUCCCAAGAAGGCUCUAGAAUUUGUUACGUGGGGGAAGAUGGAGACCAUGACCUCCUGCCACUUUCUGUUAACCCCCUUUUCUGACUCCACGUUUCUUUUUGUUGCAGAAAAUGGGGGAGCACCUGUUUUUUGCACGUUACUUCCCCCCUUAUGUAGGAAAAAAAUUAUAAAUUUUUUAUUUAUUCCUGAAUGUAUUUGUAUGUAAAGCUCAUCCUCAUCUUUUGGGUUGGAUUACAUUUUUGUUUUACCUUGAAGUUUGACUCAAUUUGAAUGGACUUUAUUUUUUCAUAUUUUUUUUGUUCAACAAGCGUAGUUUUCUUUUUCUUUUUCUCUGUGAAAUAUAUAGUAUGAAGAGGGUGGAAAUGGGUCGGGGCUUACAUUUCCUUCACUUUCUGCCAAAAGAUUGUUCCGAACCACACUGAUAGAGCGAAAAUAAACGCGAAACGUGCUAGAUUGUACUUUGGACUUCUCCAGUGGGACAAGUGUUGUUUCCACAGACAUGCCUUAAACUGCACCCAGCUAUUUUGAGCAAAAGGAGUGGGAAGGUUCAAGCCCCUUGAACCCGGCUUUGGUUCGCUCAACCGGCUAACCAACUCGACCGUGUCUCUCUGAAAAAGAAGGAAACAAACAUAUAAAUUUGAUGAUUGAAAUAAAUACAUGAUUAAUCCUAAAAUAAUGGAAAUAUUAGAGAUAUGCCCUUACCUAUACUGAGUAGAGGGUUUAUAAAUUUCAGCAAAAUCUAAACAAAGUUUUGCCUCUACUGAGGCAGAAGUAACUUCUAACAUCCAAGUUGCUGGAUUGUAAUUUUCUUUGAUCUUUGGUACAUCACGAAUAUCCUCAAAAUAUUUGACGAGUUUACUCGAGUGAUGACCGAGAACUCCAGAAUAGAUGAUUUGGCCUCCCCUUUUCAUCAAAAGUAACUGCAAAAAUCAAUGUCUUCCGUUAGUGAUCGAGUGGCUUUUAUGAUUUGGUUUAGUUUUCUUGGACUCCAUGACAAUGCUCGUUAUACUACCUCGUCAAAUGACUGAAAAAUAUCAAUGCUUGGCUUGUGGAUUGUGCAAACAGUUGUCCUUCCUGUGGAAACAACAUUCUUUACUACGCAAAUGGCAAUUGCAGCUGCUCUGGCGUCUAAGCCUGACGUAGGUUCAUCCAUAAAUAUUAUUGAUGGGUUGGAUACAAGCUCCACUGCAAUUGUUAGCCUUUUGCGCUGUUCAGUAGAUAGGCCAGUUUGUCCAGGAAUGCCAACUAAGGAAUCUCUUAUAUCCUCCAGUUCAAUCGUUUGAAUGACUUCCUCCACAAAUUUCUGCAUAGAUUAAGCAAAGGAUACUUUCUUUUAUAUGUUCCAGGAAAUUUGCAUAUUAUUGAUAAAUUGAAAGAAUAUCAUCCUACAGCUUUUAUGUCUGGAUCAGUUUCGUGUGGCAACCUCAACCAAGCUGAGAACAUAAGCGAUUCUUCUACCGUGAUCUGUGGAGAAUGUAUAUCAGUCUGCUCGCAGUAUCCUGAUAUUCUUGCAAAUGUCUUCUGGACCUUGGGGUACCCUCCGAUUCUUAUAUCUCCCACGAUACUACCUCCUGUUUCCCUUCCAGAAAGAACAUCCAUGAGAGUUGUUUUUCCAGCCCCAUGCGGUAGGAAUUCCUGGACUGAAUGCUCCUGUUAUAUCUUUAAGCAACUGAAGCUUUUUCUCCUUGAAAGCAUGCUGUCUCAUUUCCUUUUUUAAGAAGGAAUGAAGUUAAAAUACAACUAAAUAGUUUUCCAAUGAUACUAAUAUGUGAAAAUUGACUAAUGAUUUGAUUAAUUACCGGAGGUGUAUCAACAUAAUACUGCACGUCCUUAAAUGAGAUUGUCAGUGGCUCGAACGGCAGGACCAUUCUCCCUGUUUAACAAAUUGAUUUACUCUCGAAUAAUUCAGUUGUUAAAAAAAUUCCUUGCUCGUUGCUUUGAAUGGAAAAUGUGAAACUGAUAACCCGGAUAAACUGGAUGCAACAAUUCAUCUCACCUAGUGUUAUCUUUUCUCCCAUGGUUUUGAAUAAAUCGGAUAGAGUUGAUUCAUUUUCCAACGGUGCACCAGUUUGGGUUAAUAUUUAACAUUGGGCUUAUAGGAGAGAAAGCCCAAAAGAGUUCAAUAAGAAGAGUUUCGUCCGAAGCCCAGCACCAAGCCCAGACCGUCCAUCUCAAGACCAAUUGGCACUCUCCUAUUAAUGCAAAGGCUAAGUGCUUACAAGAGAAGUGACAACUGAUGAAAAUCAACCUACUCUCAGCCCAAAAGUACUUUUCAGUGGCAAUACAAGUAAAAUAUUGAUGAGUCACUACCAUUCAAUUGCUUUUGGGUAAGAACAAAGCUACAAGCGGUCGGACUAAUUCGUUUAUAAAAGGAGGAAGAGGGCUCAGAGACAAGGACACUCAAUCAAUCAAACAUACAACUUGUCUCUCAUCCAAGCAAAUACCCAGAAAGCUGUGCUUUGUCCAGACUCUGCACCCUUUUAGCCUUAGAUUUCCUUAGAAAGACAUCUUUUUUCUAUGUAAAAGCUCUGCUACAUUUUUCUAAAUGUUGUAGUAUCGAUCCCUCGUGUAUAAACUCGUUUCCAGUCAUCUCCUUUAGUACUCAAUUCUUUUGUAAACUGCAAAGAGAAGAGAUCGCAAGGCGUUUAACCUUGCUUGACAAAGUGAAAUCUUGCCCAACUCUCUUUGUUUUUAUCUUUCAAUUAACAAAUAUGGUGUUAUAAUGUAUUCCGUAGUUUAUAUUCAAGUUAUUUCCAGUCCUUUGAUGACCCAAAGCCCCAUCAGUUCUCAGAUCUGGUUCACUUAGUGGUUUUAUCAAGAAUUGAAAUGAAUUAAACUGAUGACUUGAUCAGAUCUAAGCCUUCACCCCUCAAGCAUACAAAAUAACUAAAAGUCUUUGAUCUCAAGGCAUAGAAAAUAACUUAAUGUAGACUUAAUCCAUCUACAACAAUCCUUUGAUAAACAAGAAGUCAGAAAUAACUUGGGGUGCAAGUAAUCGGCUUAAAACACACUUGUUCUACAUCUGCCAUACAGAGAUGGCAGUGGCACGCCUAAGCACCUAGUUAGUUUUGAAUGCGAGCCUCAAGGCCUAUACCUAAGGCCCCACAAAGGCACCUUUCAGAACUAACUUUGUUUUCCUCUUGCAGUAUUGUGACAAGCAGGAGCCCAACAAUCAACCAAAGUGCCAACUCCUCGGGCAGCUGUGUGCUCGAGCCAGGAACGCCCACCAACCAGAUUUCCUGCCCAAAAAGCACCAGUUUUGCGAGCUCCCCUUCUUCAAAGUUGAGAUAAUCUUUUUUUCGAAACAAUAGCCCGAUACACCUUUGGAGCUGUAUGAGGAAAAGCUUAAGUAAACUGAUGUGGAGCUGUAUGAGGAAAAGCUUAAGUAAACUGAUGAAGUGGAUUGUAAUACUUAAGUUAUCAUCUGUCAAUUAAAAUGAAUCUAAGUAAGUUAAUGCUAAAAUAAAUCCAAGAUCAGACAGCAUUGUGAACCCGAGUAAUGCUCCUACUGAUAUCCAAUAGAAAUAGCCAUCAAAGUUCAAACCAUGCCUGGUUAGAACUUUAUUCCCUAGGGUUGUGUUUCCCUCUGAGACCUAAAGAAAUGAAUUAACACUGUCAAAACACUUAUUCGACUUCGAUGAUCGGGUACUAAAAAAGUUUAUCAUCUUGAGUUGUACCUUUUGCCAGCGAGGAGCGAGGAACUCGUUUAGAGUUGUACCGAUUUCCCCAUAAGUCAUAGGUGAACACCAGAAUAGUCAACGCAACCAAGGAGGUAAAGAGGCUGCAAAACACCCCUUAUUAGUCUAGUUGUAGUUGAAUGUAACUAAAGGAAAAAUACGAUAAAUGGACUUACAUCGUGGCAAGAUGAAGCCUCCGGAUAAAAACAUUAGCACUAGGAUUAAAAUACCGCAAGUUGAUGCAACAACCAUAGUUUGGAAAACUACAGCAAUUAAACGACAUAUGGAUGUCGAUGCUUGAUGGAGAGCAAAUAGCACAAGGAACUGGAAGAAGAACCUAAAAACCAUAGCAUAUUCUUGAGGCAUUAUUAUGAUUAUUGUUCAAGCCUUUCAUGUUCUGUCGUGUGACUAUAAAGUUGAGAUCUUACGUUUUUAUGUCUGGAGCGUACCCAAUCAAAUGGUAAGUUAUUGCUGUCCACAGCAGUGAAUCAAUCACUGAAAAUGGAACCUUCAGGAUAGACUGGAAGAGAAUACGCCCAUGCUGGAUACAGAUUGAAUCCUCUUUGCUUGUAAACCACUGGUAAUCUAGUAACAGUCACAGCUCUGCAAUUCCGUUGGUCAUAAGUCGAAUAAGUGUAUAAAACAAUGAGUUCAUAAAAAAACUUGCAUUUAUCAAAUCCACGGUCCUACGGGUGCUUAUACAGAUUGCCAUUGUAAUAAAUGCAGUGAUGACAAGCUGUGGGAAAAAAAGAGAGAAAAUAUAGUAAGUGAUUUUGAGUUUAACUUCAGAAGUACAACCCCUAAAAGUGAUAUCAUUAGGCAGUAAACCUGAGCUGUUUUGAAUACGUAGAGAAAGGAAUUCCGUUUCAUGAGAAGAAGCUCUCGGGCCAUACAACCUUUGAACAACUCCCAUUUGCUCACAGAGUAAGUACUAAAUGAUAAGGCAUUAUCAUGGCACUGUGAUUUAUUGUAUGGUUUUGAGAGCUCAUCGUCUAAUUUCUUCCCCGAGUAACUUGCUCUGAAAAGUUCAAAAAAUUUGUUUGCAGAAACAUGACCGUAGGGAAUGUUAUCAUGCUUCCAGUAUUGUGCUUGAUCCUUCUUUGAGAUCACCUCUUGAAGGAAAUCUGCAGCACCCUUUCUUGGUGGGCACUUGAAACCAGAGUCUUCGAAAAACUCAACUGCGUGGCUGCGAUGACCGUGGUAAACUAUCUUCCCCUCUGCCAUUAGUAUUACAUCAUAAAAAAUAUCAAUGGUCUCGGGUGCUGGUUGGAGAAGUGAUACCAAUGCAGUUGUAUCUGUGAUAUGCACCAGCUGCUGAAGAUAGGUAACUAUCUGAAAGGUUGUAGAACUGUCUAAUCCCGUUGAUAUCUCAUCCAUAAAAAGAGCUUUUGUAGGACCUACAAUCAUUUCUCCUGAAGAUUAAACAGAAGAGGAAUGUUAUGUUUGAAACAUUUUUCUACAUGGGAAUUAGUAAUUACAUUCAAAUUUCCCUCGGAUUCAAGAUUUCACUACCGGUUGUCAGCCUUUUCUUCUGGCCACCAGAAAUGCCUCUUCUUAAUGCAUCACCAACCAUUGUGUCACUCACUACACAUACCCAGUCCAAGUAUCUAAAGAGAUUCCAAAAUAUCGUAAUUCAUUUUUCCUGUCCGAGUGAGUUAGAAAUGUCACGUUUGAACUACUUAAUGUCAGCAUUGUCCAUGUCCAACACUGGUUGGAGAAAAAUUUACCUUCAAAACAUAAUCGGUUUGGAGAUUUUCCCUUUGUCCUUCAACUGAAAUGGCCUGUGAGUAUUAUGUAAAUCUCUAAAACCUCUAACACAAAAGGGUGGUAAGAUUUACUAAAAGGAAUGUUAUGAGACUUUACAAUUACCUUCAUGUAGGUGUCAAUAUCUGGAUCGGGGACUAUUCCUGCUUCUUUUUCCCUUCUGCUGAGCUCCAUUAUUAUAUAUGCAUAAAAUACGAUCGAAAUUAAACUUCAUACGUCAAUAGAAGUACACGACUAACCCAAUAGUAAAUGCAAUAGGGGAUAAGGAAUAUGCACCAGCUCUACUGCCAACACCCUGGCAGCGGGAGGAAAAGUCAAUUGUUUCCCUCAGUCAUCUCAGGCAGGUGAAGGUCAUGCUGGCUAAUGUAAGCUGAUGUUUUUUGGGGAACAAACUCAUCUAGCUUGUAACCAUUAUAAGUGUUGUAAACUGAAAUAGAAAGGAACGAAGUUACCUAAAAAAAUGUAGAAGCCUUGAGUGGUGAAUGAUUAUUGGGAUGAGUUGCGGACUAAGUCGCUUUCUUUAAGACGUUUCGCGGCUCUACCCAAAGUGUGCAAGCAGUUCACAAACACCACAUCGUCCUAGGAUAAAACAGCCCAAAACCUUCUUCUUCUUCUUCUGAUAAAGUUCUUCCUUGUACAGUAGAAGAACCUUCGAAUUCACAUUCUCUCAAUAUGUUGCUAACCAAAACUAUAUAUUAGAAAAUAUAUCUUCUUUUUUUUCCGCAUACUUUCAAUGAUCCAGGGACUACUAUAUAUACAUUUAGACGAAAGAGAUGUUGAGGGUUUGAGAAAAUUGAAAGCAGGACAAAAUCAAAACGUAAGUCAAAUAAAACGGUUUGAUUAUGUAUCAUGACAUGAUCUUCUUCUCUAUACAAAGAAGGAAUGGCACGUUUCAAACUUAAAAGGAGAUAACUCCUUACCUAAUUGAAAAGUCAAAAUCAAUUGGCAGUUAUGCAUAGAAUAUUGGUAAUAAAACAAAACGUUAUGUAUAUAAUAUUGGUAAUAAAAUAAAACAUAAAUAUAUUUAAAUAUUUAAAUAAAAACAUAUUUACUCAACAAUCCCCCACUUGUUUUUGUUUAAAACUAUACAUCAAGCAAUAUAUCGUAAAGCUAUACAGAAGUAAAUGUGUUUCUCAACUUAAAUCUAUACAUAGUGUUAGUGAUCGAGAUUAUACUAGAGUAACUUAUAGUUUUGAACUCUAUCCCUAACAACACCACACACACAACUUUAUUAAGGUGAAGUUCAAAAAGCCAGCACAUUACAACCAUGUGCUUGUAUCCCAGUAUAGUGAACGCUCUAGAAACUUGCUCAAGAUUUCAUAGGAAGCGGCAUCACUUCCACAUUCACAUAGUUAAGACUAUCAAGGUAUUCCUGUAGCUAGAUAUCUCACUUAACAUAGAGUAUAGACCUUACUAAGAGAAAAAAAAAUCUCAACCUAAAUACGCUUCAGGAUGUCAUGCUUCUUAGGGAUGGACAUGGAAUAAUAUUCCAAACUAAAAUUAGCAAGACUUCACUCUUAUCACUUGUGACUUGUUAUUACCCUUUGAACCUAUUUCUUGGGAUCUCUAGUCUAUAGGUUGGGUUGCUAUCACAAAUAACUCAAUUCUCUAGGGCUUUAGUCCCAUCCCUUUCGAGGUUUUCCAAACCUUUUCUCGUGCUAGUCCUUUUGUCAAAGGAUCAACCAAGUUUUCUUCAUACCGUAUAUGAUCCACUCUCACAGCUCCAUUAGACAGGUAAUCUCUUACAGUGAUGUGCUUACGACGUAUUUGUCGCCCUUUCCCAUUAUAAUAAUGAUUUUGCACUUUAGCUAUUGCCGAUGUGCUAUCACAAUGGAUCAAAACUGCUGGAAUCGGUUUCUCCCAUAAAGAGGUAUCUGACAGUAGGUUUCUCAACCAUCCUGCUUCUUCGCUUGUCGUAGCUAGCGCUAUUAAUUCUGACUCCAUAGUGGACUGAGCCAUGAUAGUAUGUUUCUUAGACUUCCAUGAUACAACCCCACCACCAAGACUAAAAAUACAUCCACUAGUGGCUUUAGAGUCAUCUGAAAGGGUAUUCCAAUCAGCGGCACUGCAACCUUCUAGGACAGCGGGAAACUUCUCAUAGUGUAAUCUAAAAUUCAUUGUCCUUUUAAGGUAUCUCAUAAGCCUAUCUAUGGCAUGCCAAUGCUCCAAACUAGGUCUACUAGUAAACCUGCAUCAAACUCCUACGACAUAAGAUAUAUCAGGCCUAGUGCAAUCAGUAGCAUAACGAAUGCUACCAAUAAUACUCGCAUACUCAGAUUGUUUAACACUGUCACCAAUGUUCUUGAACAAUUUUACACUAGGAUCAUGAGGAGUACAUGCUGGUUUACAAUCAAAAUAAUUAUACUUUCUUAAAAUUGUUUCUAUGUAGUGAGAUUGAUCUAAAGAAAACCCAUGUUCAAACCUAGUUAUUUUCAAACCAAGUAUUACGCUAACUUCACCCAAGUCUUUCAUAUCAAAAUUAGCAGAUAACAAAGAUUUGACAUUAUUCACAACAUGAAUAUUCGAACCAAAAAUAAGCAAAUCAUCCACAUAUAGGCAUAUAUUACUUUCAGACUUAUAAUAGAUGCAUUUGUCACUUUCAUUUAUUUUAAAACCAUUUGAAGUAACCAAACUAUCAAAUUUUGCAUGCCAUUGUGUGGGAGCCUGUUUCAAUCCAUAAAGUGACUUAUUUAACUUGCAAACUUUAUUUUCUUUUCUUGGAAUAAUAAAACCUGUGGUUGACCCAUAUAUAUUUCUUCCUCUAAUUUACCAUUUAAGAAAGCUGUUUAACAUCCAUUUGGUGCACAACAAGAUCAUGAAUAUAAGUUAAGGCAAACAAUACACGAAUAGAUGUUAUUCUAGUCACAGGUGAACAAAUAUAAAAGAAAUCAAUCUUUUCUCUUUGUCUAUAGCCUUUGGCAAUAAGUCGGGCUUUAAAAUUUUCAACUGAUCCAUCAGGUUUUAAAUUUUUUUUAAGAAUCUAUUUGCAACCUAUUGUUUUGCAACCAGGUGGAAGAUCCACCAAGUGCCAAGUUUGAUUUGACUCCAGGGAGUCCAUUUCAUCAUUUAUAACUUCUUGCCAAAAAAUUGCAUCUAAAGAAGUUAAAGCUUCUUGAAUUGUAUUAGGAUCUUCUUGUAAGUUAUAUACAUGGAAAUCAGGGCCAAAAUCUUUAGCUAUUCGAGCUCUUUUACUUUUCCUAGGUUCUAAUGCAGAUUGACUAUGUUUUACAACAUUAGGUUCAUAAAUUUUAGAAGAAUUAGAACCCCCACUAUUUUGAAGAUUAAAAGGAAAUUUAUUCUCAUAAAAAUCAGCAUCAAGUGACUCAAUUAUGACAUGGUUUUUCAAAUCAUAACAUCUAUAUGCUUUGCUAUUACAUGCAUAACCAAUAAAAACACAUUCAUAUGCUCUACUAGCCAAUUUCGAUCUUUUUGGACCAAGUUUACGAACAUAAGCUAAACAACCCCAAGUUUUGAAAUACAAUACAUUUGUUUUCUUAUUUUUCCAAAUUUCAUAAGGAGAGAUAUUCGAUUCUGAGGUAGGAAUUCUAUUUAAUACAUAACAUAUAGUCAACACAAUUUCACCCCACCAAUAAGAAGCAGCUCCAGAACUAAGUAGCAACACUCAAUUCGCAAAGAGUUCGAUUUUUUCUUUCCGCUUUACCAUUCAUUUCAGGAGAAUAAGGAGCAGUAGUUUCAUGAAUAAUUCCAUUAGACUUAAACAAAUUAACAAAUUCAAUGGAUUCAUAUUCUUGUCAUCUAUCACUACGAAAUCUUUUAAUCUUAUGAUUAAACUGAUUUUCAACUUCAGUAAAGAAAGUUUUGAACAUGUCAAUAGCUUUACUUUUAUUUUUCAUAAGAUAGACAAAACAGUAAUUCAAACAAUCAUCAAUAAAGGUAAUAAAAUAACGUUUUCCAUUUCUAGUUAACACUCUAUCAAAUUCGCAUAUAUCAGAAUGAAUUAAGUCAAGUGGUUCAGAUUCUCUAUUGACAGAUUUAUGUGAAGUUCUAGUGAUUUUAGCUUGACUACAAUAUUCACAUUUUUCAAAAUCAGUCAACGAUAAGUUAGGUAAAAAGCCUAAGUUACUCAUGUUCUUAACCAAGAGUUUGUUAACAUGACAAAGUCUAGCAUGCCAAGUAUUAAAAGAAGACAACAUGUAAUCAGAAGUAGACAUUUUAUCAACAUUCAAUUUAAACAUUCCAUUAGUAGCAUAUCCCUUUCCCACAAAAACCCCAUUUCUAGUAAGAGUAUACGUAUUUGCUCCAAACGUUUGAGUGAAUCCAGCCUUGUUGAGAAGUAAGCCUGAGACCAAAUUCUUCCUUAUUGUUGGAGCAUGCAUCACAUCUUUCAGUAUCAUGGGUUUUCCAGAGGUGAACUUUAACUCCACCUCUCCAGUACCAGCAACAUCAGUUGAGUGCGAAUCACCCAACAACACAUUUCUUCCCUCAGCCAUAGAAUAGGUCUUGAAAAGAGAACGAUCGUAGCAAGCAUGGGGAGAAGUGCCAGUGUCCACCCACCACCCACCACCCCUCGGACUAAGUUGAUUUCUGAUAUCAUUGCAAUUAGUUGCUCUUCAACAAGAUUUGUUUGAGAAGCAAAGUUUUCCUUAUAAUGCAUGGCAGAUUGAAUUCAUCUUAAAAUUGUUGUAAACUGAAAUAGAAAGGAACGAAAUUACUCAAAAAAAAUGUAGAAGCCUUGAGUGGUGAAUGAUUCUUGGGAUGAGUCAGGGACUAAGUCACUUUCUUUAAAACAUUUUGCGGCUUUGCCCAAAGUGUGCAAGCAGUUCACAAACACCACGUCGUCCCCAGGAUAUAACAUCCCAAAACCUUCUUCUUCUGAUGAAGUUCUUCCUUGCACAGUGGAAGAACCUUCGAACUCACACUCUCUCUCAAUAUGUUGCUAACCAAAACUAUAUAUCAGAAAAUAUAUCUAUUUUUGUUCCGCAUACUUUCACUACUAAAUAUACAUUUAGACGAAAAAGACGUUGAGAGUUUGAGAAAAUUGAAAGCAGGAAUAAAACGGUCUUAGGUCCGAUUCUCGCCGAAGGCGAAUUUGAACCACUAAACCGUAGCACUAAGUGGCUCCUAACAAUGUCUCUUAACAAGUUUAGAGGUAUUUGUCUUCACUAAUAAAUGAAAAGCGUUUGAAUUUCAUGAAUGACAAGUGCAAUACAAAAUUCAAAUUAUCAUGGUUCUUCCAUUAUAUGAUUUAACCAAAGCAUACCAUCUCUUAGUGUAAAUAUAUCAUUGAACUAUCAUUGAAGUAGUUCCAACAUUCGUAUACCAUCUUAAUUAUCAAUUUACUAUUACAAAAUUUCUAUUAAUUUUUCUUUACAAACUAAAGUGUUAUUAGGCUAAGUUGUUAAAUAUUAGGAGAUGAGUAGGGAUCGACCCACCGCCAAAGUACAUAUAUAGGUAUUACUGUUUUCUGCUACUAUGAUAAAGUGUAAUAUACUUCUAUAUAUUAAAAGAAAAUUCACUGAUACAUUUCCACAUGUAAACAUUCAACAUUGGACAUAUAUAAUAUUUUUCCCUACUUCUUUGGAAAUUUAAUUUUCCAAUGCAAUAGGCAAAUAGGGAAACAAAGACAAUCCCAACUGGGAAAGCAAUGAGAACAAGAGCCACAAGGCCUAAACAAUCAUGGUGGAAACCAUAAUAAUCUUGUAGGAUUAUUUUCUAUUUAAAAAACGUAUGUGAACAUACACAUUAUUUUCUAUUAUAAUAUGUGUAAGUUUAUGAAGGGAAAUAUUCACUAAAAUGAUCAAAAAUCAAAUUCUGAUGCCAAAACAAAAUCAAAUAUUGUCAUACUGAAAAACUAAUCAUUUCAACAAAUGAGAUUCAAAUAUUUGAUUAUUUUGGCCAAUUUUCCUGUAUUGAUACCCUAACCUAAAGUAUAAAUUACUUGCACAUCCAAAUUAUAACACAUGAAUUAACAACACUCCGUCAAUUAGACUUGUGUUACAUGUAUUUACACGGUUAUUGUCAUUCCAAGUGCUCAAAUGCUAAUGGAGUUACACAAAACCAUCAAAUAUUAGAAAAGAUUGGAUUCAAGAUAUACUAAGUAUAAUGUACAGAAUGUUGCAUAUAAAGUACCAGAAAACUUUAGUAGGUGACCAAGAGAACCCUAUUGCAGGAUAUGCAACGGCUACAUACAAAACUUGUAACAUUGUAUAAUGUAUUUUAAUGGCAACAUGCAACAUUUAACACUUUACACUAUAUUUGGAUGAGGAAGUUUAAGAUUGCUAAGGAAAUUUAAAGUAACGGAAAUUGAAAUGAUGGAAUUUUAUUUUAUAGAAUAUGUGAAUUUUCUUGUUUGGUUGAGGAAAAUAAACUUGGAAUUUAGAUAAAAGUCAGAAUUUGUAAAUUGACAUGCACCAGUUUCCUUGUUUGGAUUCAUAAACAUAUAUAGGAAUUUAGAAUUUUCGGGUGAAAAAAAAACUUGGAAUUUGGGACCUCCAAUUCCCAAGUUUAAAUUCCAUGUAAAUAUGUAUCAUUUCCCAAUUUCUAUGAUUGAGUGCUUAAAAAUAACAAAUUCCGUAAUCAAUUCCAUUUAUUUUUAGGUUAACCAAACAAGAGAAUUCACAAAUUCUAGAAAAUAAAAUCCUGUCAAUUCAAUUUCCGUCAUUUUAAAAUUCCUUAGUAAUCUUAAAUUUCUUCAUCCAAACAUAGUGUUAAGAACAAUGGAAUUUGAAAUGAAAUUUGUUAUUUUAAACCCUCAUUCAUGAAAAUUCAGAAAUGACACCAAUUUACAUAGAAUUUAAAAUGGGAAUUAGAUGUCCCAAAUUCCAAGUUUUUUUCUCAUGCAGAAAUUCUAAAUUUCUAUGUUUAUGAAUCCAAACAAGAGAAUUGGUACAUGUUAAUUUUUAAAUUCCAGCUUUUAUCAAAAUUCCAAGUUUAUUUCCCUCAUCCAAACAUAGUGUUAGUUUAAAACUGUGAAGAUUUUGAUUUAUCGAUUACAAACUAAAUAAGUACUUGAAUUCUUAGGCACUUCAACGUAUGAACUUGUGCAAAUGAACAAGGUCGGCCCUGAGAUUUUGAAGGCCCGAGCUAAGCUACCAAAUAGGAGCCCUUUAAUUCUUAGGCACUCCAAUUGGUUGUAGGUUCAUAUACAUUUUAUUUUUAUAGUAAAUACUCAUUAAUUUAUUAUUAUAUCGUACUCUUAUUUAAUUAAUAAUCAACAAUAUGCUAAAGUUUUAAGAAGGUGUUUGGACCCAAAAUUACAUCAUCGGCCCGUGCAAUCAAGGCCGUUGAGUAGGCAUAGCUCUCAAUCGUCGGAUAAAAAAGCAGAGAUAAUUUUGUUAUUAAAGGAUAAUAUUAUGGUUUUUAUCAUAAUUAUCUUUUAAUGAUUUAUCUCGACAUCUUCUUAUGAAAGAGGGAAAAUAUAUCUCCAAGCUGGAAACACGCAGCACAAUUCAAAGCGAUUUGGAUGUUUGGCGUGUGGAUGUGGUUUGGAUCGGUUUUAGUUGACAAAUAUGCAUGCAUGUGAUAAGGGUGAAGUAAAAAUGGUGAUAUGCUUUGAAAAUGAGUCUACAUGUGUUGGUGAUAAGAUGGCAGCAACUGCCUUGCUGACAAUUAACAUUGGGUAUUUUAUGCUAAAUCAUGCAUAUUGGUAUAUGCUUUUGUAUUGUGGGCCAGCAUAUGUUUUUUUUUUAUGGAGCCAAAUUCAUUUAACAAUGGAUAUUUGGAACAAUAAGAAGUUUAAGUAGGCAUAGGCCUUUGAGAGUUUGAGUUUCAGUUGGUUUCUACGAAAUCAUCAAGGCCACGCCAAGCGGGAUCAUGCAUAUUUGAAAGAGAAUAUUCCUAUUAUUUUGCAACUUACGACGGCAAUCUUACGGUUAUAGAGGCAAUGACAACAUAAAGGUGGUAUUUCGAAUUCAACACACAAACUGCCAUGCACAAACUCUUGCUCUACGCGAAACCUCUUAACAACCUUGAGAUUUUUAUUUUCCUUUUUCGCCAACACAUCUUCAGUUUGGAUAAAUAGCACUAUGAAGGCAACCGGUGAACAUCUUCACUUUGGAUAAACAAUACUAUAACCGUAGAACCAUUCGACCAUGAAGCACCUUUAGUUUGGAUAAACAACAUUGCUCCGAGACCGAUUGAUUACCUAUCCAAGUCUCGGUCAAGAAGAAUUUUCAAGUCCUUACUAGUAGAGAUCAUCUCAUCAGCCUUCUCGACGAAGUGAGGUGUUACCAGGUUACUACAUUCGGCACCCUGAGAGCCCAAUUUGAUAUUGAACUUCGUAGAACUAAUAGCCUUGUCUUCAGGUUCUAGAACCUGAAGGUCGAGACGUGUUCAUUUCUCGACCGCAGUCGUGAGAUUCAGAAGUCAAUAGUGCGCCCAAUGCAACAUCAACUCAUUUUACUUACCGGUCAAGCUCGACCGUCGAGUUGGCAUGCCCCACACACAACCGAAGGACAUAGUUAGCUUUUUAAUUACUCGGCUUGUGCGCCACGUAUACUUGAUAGUUUUUAAGAUCAACAGAAGGUAAAGAGCAAUAAAAACUGAUUAACGAAUUUAACAAAUUUAAUAGCGCCAAUUGAUCCUCUUGUAUUCUUCUUGAAAUCAAUUUCACAAUAACGAAUAUUAGAAUCAUGAGAUGAUUGAUAAUAAAUUAUUGAAACAGAGAAGAUAUAGCAAAUAAGAUAAGGUAGCUGGCAUUUGAUAGCGAUUUUGCUUGUAAAACUACACUUUUUGUCCAUCCAGAAGAAACCCAUUCUUCUGUUACAUGGCUUAACCGUGACCACACAAAACAGGAGAGCACGGGAAGGGCACCAGAAGUGGAGGGCAAACAAUCCUUGUCCGUGCUUUGUCCAUCGAGAAUAAGAAAUUGUAGGGACUAGGGGCCCAUUGCUCUUUUGAGAUGCAAGUUAAGGGACCUAACAAAGGGAAGUAAAAAGCAUUGGUAGGACAAAACAAGCCGUUUUAGGAAAACAACUUGGGGGAAGAUUCUCUCAUUUCCUAAUCUCUCUCCCAUUUUCUCUCCUUCUAUUUGAACGGUUACGGUUUAGCUACGUCAAUAUCUUAUAUAUAUAUUUUUAGAGACGAUAAGACAAAAAAUAAUAUGUGGGAGAAGGGAAAAGAAGGGGAUGAGAAUAGGAGGGGAGAUAAUUCUCUUCCAAACAACUUGCCUAUACAAUUCGGAUUCUAAGACGGUGGUAUCCCAAACGAAUCUCAUCCGACUAUGUGUUUAAACAUUGCACAUGACACCACGUGAUUGUUAAAACAUUGUCACCGUAGUGUAUUGUACAUAUACAUGAUUGUUUUGAAGUAACAUCAUCAUUGUGACAUAUUCAUGACGUAUGCUUAUCUCGCCGACUAGAGUUUCAGAUUCCUAACCAGGCGGGCAUAAACGUGCUUACAGCCUAAAAGGCCUUAACCUCAUAGAUCUGAAAACACAUUUCUGUCGGAGAAAUUGUCAAGAAUAAGAUACGAACUAGAGUUUACUCCGGGCAAGAUACCUGAGAUUUUUAGCCGUUAAAGUCAUUGAAUUCUUGACCAAUGAUCUAACAGCUAAGUUCACAUUGUAUAACCGAGGCACACUACAGAACGUAGAAAAAAAUAAUGGGGAUUAAAACGCUUCAUUGGGUAGAGGGAUAAGUGACAAAACAAUGAGAAAAAACACAUCAAUUGUAUUAGAAAUGCAACUUGCCAAUGUGCACAACAACAAAUGAACAUAGUUGCUACUCCACCGCAAAACCACCUCUGUGUCUGUCAAAUCUUAUUAAUCUCUGCGAGCAGAGGUAGCAAAACAACCUUGAAAAAAAACCCCCCACAACUUUCCAUAUGUUUUUUUUGACACCCCCGUUAACCCCUCAUAAUCAUAAACUACUAAUGACACAUUCUUCAAAGAACACGAAAAUAUAAAAAUACUAAUAAAAGAAAACCCAAAUGGCGCAAUGCCUGUAUAGAGAGAGAGAGAGAGAGCGAGAGCAGCAGAGGCUUAAUUCAAUUCAAUGUUUUGAUUCGAAGGGGUGAAGACUGAAGAGCCGCCAUUAAAGCUUUAAGCUUGGGGCUUGUCCCACUUGAGUGGCUUGACAACCUCCCAGGUGAAGUCGGGGUCAUCCCUCCCGAAGUGUCCGUAGGCGGCGGUCUUCAAAAACCUUCCAUUGCCACCCCUCUUGAGGUCCAGGUUGAUGGAGAUCAUGCCUGGCCUGAAAUCGAAUGUCUCCUUCACAAUCUUGAGGAUCUCCUUGUCAGGGAUCUUUCCGGUGCCAUAAGAAUCAACAAACACUGACAAAGGCUCGGGCACACCGAUGGCAUAGGAAACCUGCACAAUGCACCUCC
rnacentral:lncRNA from 1 species